GACGUGCGACAAGAGCGACAACCGCUGCCGUAACGCACCCCUCUCGCUUCCGUCCCAGUCUGAAACGGCCGAGUUGCGGGGACGUAAAUACCUCUCCAAAGUUUCUCAAAUUACGGGGCGUGCCAGGGAAGCGUCCAAAAGAGUCCAAUUGCGGCUCGGCCGGGGAAUGGUCCACCGAAAGGUGACAUAACUGGGAAUCACGAUCGGGACCACGGGUGGCGUCGAUCGGAGUAUCGGACAGCUCUGAUGGCGUCGGAGGUUGGCCACUUGUCCGUUAUGGGAGACCGCCGGAACGGGACGCUUUUCUGUUCGCGUCCCAACAAGGAGGUGGGGGCCGGGAGGGUGGCUGGGACGGGCGACGCGUUGCAACUCGGGCGCGGUCUCCGCCACUCUAGAGUCGGUGGCCGGUUCAAUUUUUAGGCGUAUGAGACGGUCACCUAGGAUUCCGGUCGAAAAAAAAACCUACCGCAGAAAAAACUUUAAAAACAAAAUAGAAAAAAAAGUUUUUUUAUGAGUUUGUCUUAGACUAGUCUGCUGCAAAAAAAAGUUUUAAGACAAAAUGGCCCUAAGUUCCUAAAUAUAUUGGGCCCCUUCUGAGUCGGUGUGAUUAGGAGGUGGAUUUAUUUGCGUAGUUGGGGGAUCAGUGACACGUUUGGGUGUCUCUCCCCGUGAUCUCCGCUGGCCUGGGAGGGAGAGGGAUGGACGGUGGGUGUUGGAGGCCAUUGUCAGUUUGAGAAUCAUGGAGCACUUGGUCCUUAACCUUCGCAUGUCCCGUUAGUAAACAAGAGUACUUCCUAAUAAUUAUCAAUGUGAAUAUAUCUAGUAGUGGAGUGGAGCACACAGAAAACAUCAGAAACAACGGAAACAUAGGCUAAGAAGUUGAUGAGUAACUUCAGUUUUACUUAAAACUGGCAGCCUCAAUUAUGAUACCUAUUAAAUAGGACGCAGAAGUUGGUGCUAAAGAUUUACACAGGUCACGUGCUCCUAUGGCGCGAUUACUUCUACGGUAUGCAAACUAAGCGAGAAUUCUACCCAUGAGACUGAUGACAACCGGUUGCGUGAUUAAUAUUAGAUUAGAUUCUGGGGUCAAGAUGUGCUCUCGGAGGUUACAUCUGCCACAAAACCCAGUACUAUGUAUAGCUCUGGGGAUGUCUGGUAGGCAUCUCAUCGGUGAGCGACAUCGCUUAAAUGAAAUGCACGAUAAAUGCGCCGAGCCGAUGCUGAAAGCGAACGACUACUUGCCGCAGCAGCGGGCCCAUAUACGAGGUGGAGAUUUUUCUCGAGUCUUGUGACGGCGUAGCAUUGAGUGACACAAAUUUUAGUAAAUCCUCCCUGUAGUUUGUGAGCCUGCACGAGAGACUGCUAAUUGGAGGAUAUAGAUUUUCGAUAACGAAAUGGAGCUGCACUCGCUACAAAUAUGCGAACCACAUUGAGUCUGUACGUACUUGUAGUCACUGUUGCCGACCAGAGUCAGAAUUUCACUGUGAUCUUCUAGUUACCGGAUUCCACUUUAGGCCCCAUGAUGCUCAUCAUCAUUCAGAUUGGUGCAUCAAUCAACGCUUACCAUGUAGGAGCGUACCACUUUAUUUCGACAUGAAUAGUUUAUUUCACCCUAUUUGCAAAAAGAAGCCUCUACAAGCAUGACAGAUGCUUCUAUAUGUUGAGAAGUUCCGAACUACUCUUUUAACCUAUUUACAUGCCCCUCACUCCGCUGACUAGAUUAACUAGCUGGUGAUGAUUUAUUUUUAUGAGUAUGAAUGGAUAAACUGAAACCCUCUUCAUGCUACAAAACUAUGUAAUACCCCCUCGGAUUGCAAAAAUUGGUAUUUACAUCUGCUCUUCUCGCAGCCAAGGAACCCCUGCUCAGUUUAAAGGUCUGCUUCCGUCUAUUAGCAUUCGAGAAAAUUGUGAUCAUCCAAAGGACUUGACCAGCUACAACCAGCAGACCAACCUAGAACACCAAGGAUCACAUCCACACCUGAGCAAGCAUUGACCUGCAAGUGCUCCAUGGAUUAGAAACAACACCUACUAGUGGAACAAAAUUUGUUUGAAAAUUACCAGGUCGUUGUAGGUGCCUUCAUAGUGAAACAACAUGACUGCCAUUCCUUUUCUUCUGUCAAUCUCCGCCUGCUUGAUCAAAACAUCAAAGCUAAGGUCAAUGAUGCACCAUAUGUUCUAAAAAUGAACGUUAAAAGCCCCACUUGUCACCCACCACACAAGAGCAUAUCGUAAUCCCAGUGGCUGUCAAUGCUGAUGUAACUUCAGCCAUCAUACCUGUAAUUGAGAAUAAAUGAACAUAAUAAACUGGAAACUAAAUUCAUCUUGCACCUAGGUAUGCAACAAAAAUGGGCAGCUCGAAAGGAUCUAAAUAAGCACACAAUAUCACCAUAAGUACAGAGAAAUUUAAGAUGGGACUACCUUAAAAUAAAUCACUAACACAACCACAGAUGGCUCAAAGAGGAAGCCUCAUUGAGGUCAUGAGCUAGAAGUGGCAAAGUGGGAGAGCAAUGAGGUUCAGUAAUAGUAAAUAUCACUUGUAAUACGAAGCCAAAAGGAAAAAUGAGAGCGAGAGAGGGGAAGGAAGGUUCAUUGUCAGGAUUCAAUGACAAUCAUGUGGUUCAAAUUGCUACCAAACAGAUCGCGAUGUCAAAAAUUGACAAAUGUAAGAUAUGCUGGAACAGUGCAGGUGAGAUUCUAAACACUGCAGAACUUGUGCACUAGAUGGUAGAUAAUACACAACUUGCAUGACAUUAUAGAACUACUUUUAUGAAUUACCUAUGGAAAGGGGAGCUUACCUUUUCGAUCAAUACAUACUACACAAAACCACUGAAUUGCAAGGCCUUCCACAUUGUGCCAAGAAGCAAUUUUGCCAUCUUUCCAGCUUUCUAAGCCGGGUAAAACUUCCUUGUAUGUAGGUACGUUAGCAUGUAAGAACUCAGCAAACCCAUGUCCUGGAAUCACUGAAUUCCCAUUAACCUUAAGAUUCAUUUUCUGCAUACUUUCGUUGUGCUUCCCAUUGAUCUUAGAGAUGCCAGCACUAUCCUGAACAUGUAAGAGAUCUUGUUUUCGUUUUGUGGAAGAUGAUUCUUCAAUGUUCCCAAGUAUUUUCUCCCAUUUGGAAUUUCUUUCCUUAGUUGGAGAGCUGGAAAAUGUUUGUUCAUAAUCACUCUCAUCCUCAAGAUCAGCAACAAAAUUAUUUACUGUUUCUGCAGUUAAUUCAGACGCACAGAGUGCAGCUUGCUCUCUCAAAAACUAGAUGAAUAGCAAAUAUCGUUAAUAAGAUAAUUAGAUUACAUGAGAGAAAAUAAAGCCCAUCAAUACCCUCUGCUCUCUCAAAAGCAUACUACACAAAAAGGAAAAAUGUACCUUCAAAAUUUUGUGUCUAGCACUGCGAGUUUUUGCAUGCUGCAACCAUUGCUGAUGCCUCUGGAAAGCAGAUUUGCUUGAUAAUGCCUAAGAAAGAAAGAUUAUAGUGAACAAUGGAAAUAAACCAAACUGUAAUCCUAAUAAUAUUUCUGCCGGAAACACAAAAGAGAGUAUGAUAAAGAGUACACGACCCAAGCAUAGCAGCUGUCAAGGUUUUUAAAAGCUGUGAUUUCAGUCAUCUUUGUGGGUGACUGAGACUGACAAGAACCAAGAUACUGGUUUAUCCCAGCAAAGAUGGAAGGCAGAGAAAUACUUGAAAGAUCUGAGAAUUUUGGAGAUUUUAACAGAUAUAUCAGGAUUGAGAUAUCAAAAUCUUGGUUGAUAUGGUAAAAUUCAGUAGUGUCCAUUCUUAAUCCAUGAUUUUGAGAUUUUCGCAGGAAAAGUACCUCUUAAAGUAGUAAAAAAUGCUUGGAAAACUUUGGUCAAUAUUUUAAUAUUGAGGUUUCUGGUCUCUUAUUGGAUCCUGUAGCAGUAGCUUACCAAUAUGGGUAGGAUUAGUAUGGUACAUCCCUAUACUAACACAUGGUGCACUGCUAGGUUGAGGCAGCAGUUGUAUUAUGAUUUAGUAAAAUACCAUAUUGAGCCCCUGUACUGUAAUGAUAUGCUCUGGAGUUAAUGUACACCCAAUACUAGGUGAUACUCAAAACCUUCAUAGAAAUCAUAUGGGCUGAUGUCUAGGAAUAUAGUUUAUACCAGCCAAGUAAAAGAAGGGCUUGGAUUUUUACGUAUAUCUUUUUGUUAAGUGCAUGAUACUGGAUAUAAACUGAGAUCUCAGCGAUGAAGACCUAGGAAGCUGCAUAACCAUGAUGGUAUAUAUAAAAACAAAAGAUUCAGUCAGUGAAAAUAAAGCAUUAAUUUCAAUGGUGCAACUUAAAGAGUGGAAUUAAAAAGAAAUAUGUGACAAGUGAUGCAGCAGUUUUAUCCAUGCACAUUAAGGUCAAAGUGCCAAAUGAUGUUCCAAACAUGGUUCACCAUAAUGGACUGUACCACCUAUUCAGGAUGUACCAUAACAUAAUGCUAGCAGACUGAUACUCAAUAUGGGGAUGUAUUGAGUGUUGGUACUAUAUGGGUACUGAAAUCGGUACUGCGAACCAUAGUUCCUAAGCAUACAAGUUUCAGGACUUAGGUAGCCUUGUGAAACCAAAUUCUAAGAAGCAUGUCAAAAGACAUAAUUUAGAUCUUAUACACAAGGCAAAACAACCUAGCUACCAUUGGCUCACUGGUUUAUCAAGAGUUCUAUCUAUUCAUCGGGCAUCUCCUCCCCCUCCAUUUGGGCAACAGAUCUUACUUCUAUACAUUUUAUUCCUGUCAUUCAUCUACUAAUAUCUUUAGGGGAGCACCACUAAUUGGGAGACUUCAUAAGUGUCACCUCUUGGAGGAUGUAGUUUUACAUGACAAUGUACAUGAGUAUCAAGAUAAAUAAGACAACUAGUCAAAACAAUGUAUAAUAUAAAGAAUGCAUCAUUAAAUCAAGUGAAUGAAACAAGGCACCAGUUAGCCAUAAAGCAGUUUAUUUAACUUACCACAGGUUCUUUGGGAGGUAAAUUUCUAUAGUGUUCUGUCAUCACACACUGUUUAGGCCUGUUAAAUGAAGUCACCAUGUUUAACAUAGUAUUCACAUGUUUUUUCCCUGUAUAAGUUCUAACAUAAAUCAUACAAUGUACAUCAUUGAGUAUAUUCUUGUUUCCUGGUAUGCACCUCUUACUUUUAAUCAGUAUCCAUCCUUCUUAACGUUUAGUUAAUGCUCUCGUUGAAGUUCAUUCAUAUAUGCACUUGUUUCAUAAAGUACAAGAAAUCAAUACCUGGGAAAGCAAUUCAGAACCUCUAAAGACCUAACAUGCAUGAUAUACCAUGCAUUGAUAAUCACCACAAUUUUAGUGAACUGCUUCAAUUCUCUCAUUUAUCUACAUCUGAAGACAAUCCCAGCAGACCCUUGAUUGAACUGAUCAUUCUAUACACCAACUAGCUACCAUAAAGGUUGUAGGUGAUCUGUAUCAACAGGGGAAAAAUUGUAUUUGAUCUGCAAGCAGCCUUCAUCACCUUGUAAUAUUUUAGGUUUCAUGAUCAGCAGAGCCAUAGGGGCAUGAGGAGGGUCCGUUGGAGUGCGUUUAGGUCUGCUGCAAAGUGGAAAUUGAGUUUGCACUUCAGGCCUUUCUGCCAGACAUGGCAGACUUUGGGAUUCGGAUGCAUCAUCAUGUGUACUGACAUGCACUGAAGCAUAAAUCUCAAGCAUGUCCGAUUCCCAAAAUCUGCCAUGUAUGGAAGGCACACAUAAAGUGGAAUCUUUCCAGUUUGCUGUGGACUAGACCACACACCAAGAUUUGAAUAUGAAUUCUUAUUUAUUGUAAAUAAUAAGAUUUGCUCCUAAAAGCACUCAUACGAUUUUUGACUUAAUCAUAUAUGGAAAAUUAUAAUAAAGAAAUCCUAGUGAAAUACUAUUCUUGGCGCCCUUAACAUUACAAUUUCCUUUUGAGCAUCCCCUUUCAUCCAUUCUCUUUUUCUAUAGUCCUCACUACUUGUGUAACUCACAAUCUCUGGCUAUGAUCACGCGGCAAUGCCCAAAUGAAGUCCUAAAGAGAUCAACCCCUAGUAAAACCACUGUUGAUUCUUAAAUCUAACGUACAUAGCUCUGAUGCUUAAAAAUACAGUUGGAGUACAUGGGCAAUCAAGAGACCACAUUGUGCAUAUACGUUAUGCAAGCUGCAUAUAUGGAGGCAUAUGAAGUUGGUAUUUUAAACAUCUAAAAUAAAUAAAAUAUAUUAAAUAUAAUAUUAAUAGUAAUAUUUUUUUAUAAAAAUAAUAUUAAUAUUAAUAACAAAAAUAUCUAGCAAUUAGUGCUUACUACUUAGUAAUUAAUUCUUAGUAAUAAUUAUAUCAUAAUUAACAUAUUGACAUUAAUAUACAUGUAUCUAGCCUGCUUAAAACUCGCAUCCAAAUAAACCAUAAGCUUGAACUUUACGUUUUCUGCAUGGGCUUGCCAAAAUGUGGCUGCAUAAAAAAAACGGCAACAUAUACAGUUGCACAAUGAUAAAUAGGCUUCAUAUGAGCUAAUAAACCUUAUCUUGUUGUAUAUGUGUCUGCAAAGUGCUAAGCAAGCCAUCAUUUUUGCCCAUAUGCGACCUAACUGCAUAUAAUAGCUGCAUAGAGGGCACACAACAUGGUCAAGGGAUUAUGUAAGCAUAUGCAGCCACAUAUACAGCCUCAUGCACCACAUUUUUUAACAUUGCAUAUGUUUUUCAAGAUUUUAACUGAGUGGGUAUCAAAGAAGCGUAAACAAAAGAUAUGAAAAGGAGGACGGCACGACUUUGACAAGGCUUGUUAUUUUGUUCUCUUCUAUUGGUUUUAUUAUGAAGGUGGUGACAUGCCUCUGAGGUAUAUAACAUCCUUUACUCCAAACUUUCUGUUUGUUUCCUUCUAAUCAUGGGAUUGAGUGAGAAUCUGAAAUGGAUUUGCAUAUCAGGUUUUGAUGCAGGGCUGUCUAUUCUUUCUUUUGUGGAUGCAUUAUAUAAACUCAACAAGUUACAUGUGGUUUAAUAGCUCAUAAGGCAAUCAAUAUAUCAGGUUGUCUUAUAUAAAUAAGAUCGAGAAACAUGUCUUAUGAAUAAUACAUUAGUUAUUAGUCAUGGCAUUUAUUUGUUAUUAAUACUCAUCCUCUUGCAGUAGGUUUUACUUAUGAUCAUACAGGAUAGGCACAUAUCCAUUUUUUCUACCAAAAAUAUAUUCAUGGUUUACUAGUUGUUACUUGCUAUGGUUGUAAAUCCUAGAUGAAAUUCCCAGCUCCGCCACUGGGUUUAAACAAAUAAAAAAAAAACCACAUCCAUCCAACAGUUUUUAACAAUUUUCCAAUUUUAAGGAGGCAUGCUUCUCUAAAUUCCCUACACCUCCCCUCAUCAAUGUUUGAAAUACCAGUUAAUAUAGCACGUACCCAUCAAUAUGCACUGUUCCAACCCCUUGGUGAUACUACAGGGCACUGGGGUGGACAAACAUUGCUGAUCCACACGAGAAUUGCUCAAACAACUGUUAGAUUGAGCGAUUUUGGGCAGAAUCAAGGUUUAUUUGCCCCAAACCAAGCAGCAUAGCCUAAAACUGCUUGAUAUGACUAAAAUAGCCUCUUCUGCAAACAUUCUUCACCAUUUGAAGGGGAAAAGAAAGUGAUGAAGAAGGAAAGAGUGCCAAGAGAGAUUGGCUUAGGACUGAAGCUUGCUUUUCGAUUUUUUGGGCUAGUAAAUCAUUCUAAACAGGUAAUCCUCCCCUCCCUUUUUUCCCUUAUUUCUUCCAAAGUCCAAAUGGAAUUUUGUGUAUAACUCAAAGGGGAAAAAAAAAAGAGAACUUUUUUUAGAUUGCGAUUAAAUGUUGUUUGAUGAUUGAAUUCAUGCAAUUAGAACAUGAAUUCAGGAUCAAAAUCAAAUAGAUGAGGUUUUGGGUUAAUCCUCAAAACUUGUACCAGAAAAUUGUGUAAAUUCAUAACCCAAAGAAGACCAUAUGACAGGUGAAUCAGCUUCAUCCAUGCAUACCCAUCAAUACCUUUGUCAGAUGAAUCCACGAUGUUGCACGUACCUUACCCCCAAUCGGUAUGGCCCUGUAACUCAAUAUUUUACAUUUUCAAAUCGAGCCAAUUCAGAGUUUAGAUUGUCAGCCAGUCUACCUAUAAAUCAAUUAAUGAAAGCAUUUUGUUCUUUUACCAUUUCACUAACAUUCUUAUUUGCUAAUUUCCAGUUUUUGGCAUGCAAUUAAUACUCGAAAACUUAACUUCGUAUAAUCCACAAUAUGUGGUCCCUUGUUGCAUGAUACAUUUUAAGGUGACAUACAAGGGAAAAUAGAGGUCUGUUCCAUGGAUUGGCUUCCAUCUAUGUUCAAUCCUUGUUAACCAAAAAUUCAAUGUCUAAUCCUUGAUUUCAUUGGCCAUCUUAUGUUUAAUCCUAGUCCAUACGCCAGUGUUUACAGGAACACGUAUAAUUAUGCACGUCAAGCCUAACUUUGUGGGAAAAACAGCGCAAACUGGGAACAGGGACUGUAUGCAAAAUGCUACCUAUGUAAAGGACUGAUGUGUAAUGGCAGUCAAACAAAAGACCGGAUGUUAAGUUCCUCCAUUUUAGAAACCUUGUCCUCCUCUACCCAAGUUAAUCAUACCUCUAACUUAACUCGAUGGCUCGAUCUUGUCUUCCUUUGAUCCAUUCAGACUCGAUAGCUAUAUUCUAAUAGGUUGAAAUAUUGAUUAAUCCAUGUUUGCUCAUGGAUGUCUAAAUAUAAAUCAGCUCAGAUGAUCACAAUUUUGACUUAUUAAAGACAUCUAGGACAUAUUUAGAGCACUCCAGAAGUCUACCAUAAACAAUGGCUUGUGAUUUGAUAUAGCUGUAUUAGAAUGUUGAAUCCAUUAUUUGGAAACAAGACAUUCAGGAACAAAGAAUAACAUCUGUUAGAAGAAGAAAUGGAAAAUACUAACAUUGUAUGUGAUUAUCUCAACAACUUCAGCAUUAGCAAGUACAUGCAUGGGUGAAACAAGAUUACCAUUGACCUGCAAAGGAAAAGGAUUAGAAAAAAAAACCUGAUCGAAUAGCUGAUAUUCUACCACCAAAUCUAGAAAUGUACCUUUGCAGCUACCAUUUUGUUGCCAAUUUCAGUGUGAAUCAGAUAAGCGUAAUCAAUAACAGUAGCUCCUUUUGGUAGGUUUUUUAUCUGCAUUAAAUAAGAUAAUAAAUAUUGCAAAAACAACAUGUACUUUAUAAUAUUAUUCCUUAUGUGCAAUUACCUCUCCUUUUGGUGUAAAUAUGAAGAUACGGCUCCCUAGCAGGUCUCGCAUGAUAGUAUCCACAAACUCCCUAGAACUCAUGUUACCAACAAACUCCUCUUGCCAUUCUCUUAUUGCAUUGAGCCAGCCAAUCUAUAAAAUCACUAUCAAUAAUUGGAAUGUGCACGAUCCAUAUUAUCAAAAGAUUAUUUGAGGACUUCCAUGAUAAGGUUACCAACUACAAAAUAUUGACUUCUGUUAGAAAAGCUUGAAUACCCUGAGAGCAAUAUCUGUACUGUUCAAGCACAUAGACUUUCCUUUUGAAUUCCAGCCACUGGCCAUUCCACGUCCCACCUUACCAGAAACUAUACCUCGCCCACUGUACUGGGCAGCUAUACCUCUUUCAGCUAUUAAGUCCAUAUCUUCUGUUCUUAUCUGCCAAGUUCAACAGUUAUCGGAACAAAGAAUGGCAAUUAUUCUUUGAGAAUAAAUGGAACAAGGAUAUCAAUCAUAUUUUUGGGGGAUAUCGACAGGCAACAGCAGAAUACUAGUAUGAUGACAUGAUAAAUCAAACUUCCAACAAAGUCAUGAGGAGCAUGUAUCAUGGAGAUCACCUGAACUUCCAAAUGGAACAUGCUCUCAUACAGAAAUGGUAUCACAGUGGUGUGGAGACUUUGAUAGCCAUUAGGUUUUGGAGUUGCAAUGUAAUCCUUCAUCUGUUAGAUAAGAUCUAAUUUGUUGAACACUGGCAACUACAUAAGAAAAUUGAUAAAAGAUGCACGUAUAGAUAACUCACAGCUUGAGGUAUAGGAGUCCAGAUUCCAUGAACAAGACCAAGAACAUGGUAACAGAUCUAAAUAAAGCACAAAAAAGAAUGAGUUUUUUUUGUUGUAAAAUAUUGGAGCAAAUAACAUAAAGAAGAUCAGCAGAGAGUGCACUACCUGCUGUGUACAGCAUAAAGGCCCAACUCCAAUGCAGGUUUUUGGCUUUACAAUGAUACGAAGCUGGAUAUAAUCAACAAAAGUAUUAAUAAUUCAAAAGGCAGCUUUAAAUUAAGAAAAACCAAAAAACUAAGGCAUCAUAAUUUGUGUCAAUCUGGAUACAAAGACAAACCUGUGUGAUUUGGUUAACUUCAUUUAUGGAACUCUUAGAUUUCAAUGCAGCUUUAUAUAUACUGCAAUGUAACCAAAAAAAAUAAUCAAUGGAAAAACAUUCAUCACUUAACCAUCAUUGGAGUAAAUAAUGAGCAAGAGUGCACAGGUACUAAUUUCUUUUUUCUGUAGAACACGUGGAUGAAGAAUGUAAACAAUAAAAGCUGAUCAGAAAAUUAAAAGAAAAAAGGCAAACAGAUCAUGUUCACCCCACCAAUUAUUUGUAUUAUUCUAACUGAAGUUUCAUACUUUGUUCACUAUUAUUUAUAUUAUUAGAAUUGAAGUUUGACAUUUUGUCUGCAUAGUCAAGACUGCUGCAACAUCAAUACAUAUAACUCAUCAAAUCUAAAUAGCACCUCCAGUUCACAUCAUAAUUGCAUUUUUUGGUGAAUAUCAGCCCAACCAGCAUCAUCGAAGGACCUAAACAGUAAGCACUGGCUUUUUUUCUGAGAAGAAAGAAAGUUCAGUUGUACAGAUCAACCAAAAGUUGUUUUUUUUGGGGGGGGGGGCGGGGCGCAAUAAGCAUCAUCAGAAAAAGAGAUUGAGAAAACCAAAGAGAUGGCUCUCCAGAGGCAGCAAAGAAUGCGAACUAGAUGCAUGGUUAAAGAAGUUGAAGUGGUGAGUAGUACUGGCAAACAAGCUCACCAAGUGGCAUCUGCAAUAACAGAAGGAAUAGAACCUGUAAAAGAUACCGUAGGUUACAUGGACUAGGGUAUGUAGCAAGUCUCUGCAUCUUAAUGUCAAAUCCUGGUUAAUCAGCUUAGAUGUAUACCUCUAUUGCAACAAAACCUCAAGGAAAGAAGGCAGUGAGAAACUACGUGCAACACAAUUGGGAAGCAAAGUGACCAUCCAACACCAUGAAGAGGGGACAGAAUGAAAGAUGAACCUAACUAGAUGAGUUAUAUAAUAAUGUUUUGACAAAUUUUAACAGGAAACAAAGUGACUGGAAGCUAAAAUGCACCAAAAGAAUAAAAACCAUGAAAAUGACAAAUGAAAACAAAAAUAAGCAAAGAUGCUCAAGGUUGGGCGAAAGUAAUUAACGUAAAAAUUGAAAUUCAAUUGAUGAAUGAAAAUAAGCUGAAAGUGGAAGUGAUAAAAGACAAAAUAGAUUAAAAUUUAAAAAAUCAUCCAGUAAUUGAGAAAUAGCAAUUUAAAUCUAACUAAAGUGUGCCAGAAGAAGAUUGUAGAGGAUGUAAGAUUGAGACCCACUGGGAGGACCUAUGAGUUGAUCAACCAAUAGUUUAUUACCACAAUCCAUAUGAUUGAAGAAGGGGUACAACAGCGCUUUAAAUUGUUAAAACUUCAAGGCAAGUUUUUUUAUAUCAGUUGUGCCUGGAACUUAAUGAACUGGGUGGAAAGAUGAUUAAAAACAUCACUCACAGGUUGAUGGGACAUCCUAUCUGAUCAUCACUUCUCAGAUAAAUCUAUCAAAGUCUUACAACUCCAUUGAAGAACUAUCAAAAGCCACCAAUGAAUUUCAAAACACAGCUUCAACAAAUGGUUAAGUCAAAUUAUGAUAACUCUUAGGCAAACUAGACUAGAGAGUAGAGACCAUACUGCUAUUUAGGUCCUGAUGUUGUCGCCUGUUGGAGAUUAAAAGAGAGUAGGACUUUGAGGAAAAAAAAAUUUCAAAGCUCUUAUGAUGGCAUCAAAAGAUGAUCCUGGAGCUUUAAUACCAAGAAAUCUAUGAAACAAUUGUUGGCAAAAUUACUGGUAAUGCAAUUUUACACACUAUAUACAUGCAGAAUACAACACUACAGAAUGUUAGCACCAAUUGCAACAACUCCUGAUCCACCCAACCCAUCUCUCUUGGAAGCCAAACUACCUCCAAAAACUAGACACCAACAAAAUUUGUCAUAGCUUUCUCAGAGUCAAGUUUAAAAAUGAUUCCCUUCCAUCUCCGAGCUCAAAACACAUUGGCAAGCCAAAACAAGAAUACUUAGAAUACCUAUACCUUAAAUGAUUUAACAUUAACCGUUGUCAUCAUCACCAUCAUCCAGACCCCAAUCACGUUAAAAUGCAAUUUUCAGAUAAAAUGACAAGUGGCAACUAAAGAAUGGCAUGAAUAGAGGCACUAUCAAAUCAUACCAAGUUCUGAAUCUUGUUAGAAACAUGUCAGACUGUCAUGGAGAACUAACUAGCACGAAAACUGGUAUUUCAAGAAUUAUGUAUCAUAGCAAUGAGCUAAUACACUUACCAAAAGCAAUCAGCUAAUACACUAUGAAAAUUUGCAAACCUACCUACCAUUGAAUUUAUCUCAUCUAAGAGAGAUAAUGCACAUGCACCAGUUCAUAUAUUCUUUUGCGCAUACGUGUAAACUUGCACAAUUUUAAGUGUUCAUGCAUGAAUAAAUGUACCAACAAUCAAAAGCAUAUCAAAAUAAAGUAUAAAUGUUCAUGUCUAGGUUGAAGGCAGGCCUUGGAGCGACAGUAAAGUUGCUCCAUUGUGAUCUGGGUGUCACAGAUCUAAAAUAUGAAACAACCUCUCUACGUGUGGGGAUAAUGCUGAGCAUCAGACCCUCCAUAGCCUCCGCAGUGGCAGGAGCCUCGUGCAUUGGGAUGCCCCUUGUCAUGUUUUGGAUUUAUUAUGAUAGCCAAAGAUGCUCGUUUUAAAACCAGAAGUAGAAUAUUUAAGUUCAUGACUCGACCUGUACAGUUCCUUACAUACAGACUGAACUUCAGUUUUCACUGUCACAAGAUCUAAAAGUUGAUCCUCCUCAAUUCUCUGCCUCAGAAUCUUCUUUGCCUGGACAGGAAAAGGAAUUAAAAACAAAAAUUAUAUUCCAAUGUGAUUGUAAACAUCAGGCAUCAGCAAACUUGUUUGUUAUAAAUGAUUAAAAGAAGUAGUACCUCUUCCAAUUCUUUCUCGUGAUCCUUAUAAAGUGCUUCAACUCUUUUUUUGAGCUCAGCAAAAUCAACGGGGUUCGUAUACAUGAACGACAGAUAUUCCAGUUCUGACUGCAAAGGGUGAUCACCUUCAUCAGUUGGAAGAAUCAAGAUUAAGGUUAACAAUUAUACUAUAAAUACAAGAAAAAAUGUGUUCACUGGGUCACAAAAUUUCUCCAUACUAUCUGGACUCAUUGGUAAAAGCAGCUUAAACCUGGUUUCAUUGCCUACAGUCUAGGUAAAGCAGUAGAAUAUCAGUUUAUUGCAUGCCAAAGCAGAUGUUAGCCAUGUCAUACAUGUGGCAUAUGACAUGCUAUAAGGCAUGGUGCACCAUCAAAAGACAGAAAAAACACUGACUUAAAGACAGCAGUUAAACCUGGGUUCCAACUGGAUGUGCCAAUAGAAAAGAAAAAAUUCUUGGCUAUAUUGAAUUUUUUUUAUAUUGAUCUUCAAGCAGAAAACAAAAAAAGUACUAGCUUUUAAAAAAAUAUAUAUAUCCUCACAUCUAAGAAUGGAAGUUAAAUAAAUGAACAUGCUAAACAUCAGAGAAGACGGUGUAAAGCAAUGGGAAUGGAUCUUGAUAGGAAAACAGAAAUUAGCAUUAAACCAAAUAAUUUUCUGUUAGAACAGAGCCAGGGCAGGAAACAGCUUCAUUCCUAGCAGUGACAUUUUGCCACCAACUAGUAUCCACGGACUGGUUUUUGCUCCGCUAAGUACUUUUAUAAUAAAUAUGAGACUAAUCGCUUCAUGUGCCUGUUGGGUUAUACACCUUUCUUUCCUAAUACAUGGUUCACAUUUCCACAUAAUAACUACUAAUGUUUUAACUAGAUAAAACCAGAAAAUACAAGGACAUGUUUUCACAUGAACUGUACUGGCAGCAACCUUCAGAUCUAUCACAACAGUUAGGUUAAUCACAGUUUACUGUCAACCUAAAAAGGAAAAAGAAAAAGAUAAGAAAAUUCACAUGCUGUAAAUAAAUCCGCUCUUAUCUUUCCUAGAGCAUAUUAAGAGCUAAUUUGGAGUAAAUUCAUGCUACCAAAAGCAUUGCACGUAAGUAUAUGGUCCCACCAGAGAAUCAAACUCUAGGUCUGAACAUUUGGAUUAGAAUUUGGGAGAUAUGAAACCAGCCAACAAUAACACAUAUGGGGCAUUUUCAGCACUACUUCAAUAUUUUGUAUUGUCCUUUUAGUCAGAAGCGUUUGUAAAGAUUUAGCCGUAAAUUUAAUGUUCAUAUUUUUAGAUAUUAGAAAUUAUAAGAGAAUGAUUGUUGAUUUGUUUGAGGAAUUGUUUUGGUUGUUCUGAUCACCUAGAGCACGAGAUCAAUUGAAUUCACAAAAUGUUUCCACCUCUAAACAAUUAAAUCUAGCAAAAACUUGAAAAAUAACAGCAAUGUUUGAAAAACCAACAGUACCAUGGUAGGAUACUCCUUGUACCAAGAUGUAUUGAGGCAUAUUGAGGGUAUGUCAUGCUAUACUGUACCAUGGAAUUUCAAACCUUGGAUAAACCAUGAGUAGAUAUAGGGUGUACUGCAGUACGCACCAUACCGGGCAUGACCGAUCCACCCCCAUACCACAGCACUUCAAAUCUUGCUUGAAAGUCUCAUAACAUCACUGAUCAGAUUCUUAUGAAGGGAAUCAGAUGAUCAAACAAUAUUUCAGAAAGGAAAUAUUCCUAAUGAGCAUGGAUUUUCUAAUAGGAUAUAUGGCAUUCAUACAGUGCAGCAAAUGCUGGUGAUGUGGGAAUGAAGUUGUCGUAUCUCAUAUUGUAUGUGAAAAGGCAUGGCCUAUAUAAGAUUAUAUAUUAGGUCAUUGCCCCUUUUAAAUAAAUUUUUAACAUUUUUGUGACCAUCCAACCCUAUCCUUCCUGGUUAUGUUAGAGAGCCAAUUUAGCAUCUACCAAUAUGAAACCUUAUAAAACAAAAUAUUACAUCAAACAAAUCCAUAGAGCAAAACUAUUUUUUUCCUUAAGUAAUAAAUUUAUUUGUUGAUCAUAUAACACUCCAAAAGCACGAAUCCACAUUAUCCAGACUUCAAAUCUACCAACACGACUCAUCCACCUCUCCAUUCUGAAAUACAAUAUAUCCAGAUAACCAAGAAGGAUAACCUUCAGGGGACCAGAUAUUUUAACUUGAUCAAGCCUAAAUUCCACCUUUUUUUAAAAAAAUGGAUAUUUCAAAGCAGUCUUCUGGAAUUCCAUAUUAGUAUUUAAUCCUACAAUCAACUCUCAGACUAUAUCUUCUGUGACAUUGGUAAGUAAUAUGAGCUCUAAAUGGCCAUUCUGAUUGCGAAUUUACUAGUCUCACAACUAUUUCCAAUGCCUUUCACCAUAAAAUCAUUUCCUAUGUUAAUAACUGCUUCAUUAAUUGGAUAGAAUACAUUUGUUCUUUUGAAAGAUGUUUUACUGCCCGAAUUUUAAGAAAACUGCAUAUAAAUGAAGUUAUAAAUAUGGAAAUGGAUAUAAAUUUGAAUUCAGGAAAAAAAAAUGUGGACGUACAACAAUGUGCAAAUUCUACAUGAUAAAUUCCAUCAAGGCAUACCUUUAUUUGGUACAUUCCUAGAAGCUUUGCUAAAGGGGCAAACACCUGCAGUGUCUCCAGUGCAAUGCUACACUGCAAAGGUAACGAUGCUUAAAACAAAAGUAACCAAAUAACUCACAAGACCAGAACAAGAAAUGGGAGGUAAAAAAAAAACCUGCUUGUGCUGAGGCAUGUGUGAAAGAGUGCGCAUAUUAUGUAACCGGUCAGCCAAUUUGACAAUAAUAACACGAACCUAAAAGGAGCAUUCUUUCAUUAAAUUCUAGCUAAGAUGAUAAUAUUUCACAUAUGAUUCAAAUUUCAGACAAUGCACAAGAAAAUACCUCUUCUGUCAUCGCAAGAAACAUUUGCCUUAGAUCAUCAGCUUUUACAUCUUGUGCUGAACUGUUUGCAUUUUUGCACUGUAGUUUUCCAAGCUUGGAUACCUAAUUAAGUGAAUAAUAGAGAACCUAAUAUAAUUAAAUUCCACUAAGGGAUUAACAAAUGGGAUGUCUAAUAUGAUGAAUAGAGCUAUAUUCUACCUUAGUCUCUCCCUCAACAAUGUGGCGCACAGUAGCACCAAACUCCCUUUCGAUCCUUUCAAAUGUAACUAUAUUUGUAUCUUCAACAGUGUCAUGUAAUAAACCAGCAGCAACUGAUUCCCAGUCCAGCUCCUAAUGAACAAAAGCAACGUUAAUCUAGUAAAUAAUAUCUGGAAAUCAUAGUGCCAUAUGAAUUAUAAGAUGUCCUCUAGAUGAUAAUUGUUUUAAGUUUAGAACAAGUUCUUGAGAUCACAACUCACAAGUUCUCCAAGAAUCCGAGCGACUGCAACUGGAUGGACAAUAAAGGGUUCUCCACUUCGCCGUUUCUGACCAUUGUGAGCUUCAAAAGCUAGCUGCACUGACAUAAAUACAUUUUCAUAUACUAAUUAUAUGUAGUAGCACUGGAAGAUUCAGGAAGAAAAGCAUUGCAAUAAUAGGAAUUCCAUUUAUGCCGAGCAUUUGAAAAAUACACACCUUCAAAGCAUCAUUUACUAACUUCAACUCCUCGGGUGCAAGAUAUGAAAUGGUUGGUUUCAGAUCCUAAUGCAUGCAUUGAAGAACACAAAAUGUCAUCAACUACUAAACUAGUACAUCAAAAGAAGAACAAUGUUGAUGAAUUAUCACUAGCACAAAUCAUCCAAUAUAAAGCUACAAGGAUUUCCUUCUUUUUCUUAAAAAAAGAAAAAGAAAAAAGUUAAAGAUCAGAACAUACAUGCAAAGAUCAGAAAACAGCAAAUAAAAAUAAGACCCCCAGAAAAGUAGAGAAAAUUGGAUAUUUCUUUUUUUCUUCUUUCGUUAACAUCUUGCAGCAAGAUAAAGGAACUAGAAUAAAAUUUCUACAUAUGUAGCUGGGAAAACCACCCAUCACAAGGACAACAUCAUGCCUAUUAAAGUUUAAUUUCUUGGGUGCUAAACUCCCCCCACAUACAGACAGACAGGAAGCAACCAAAGCAGCACUUCCACAAUGGACACUUGAGUUUAUGCAACGAAAUUAGAGACAUUUUGAGAUAUAGAUGCGACUUAUAAUGAAAUAAUUGCAAAGGCAAAAGAGUUAAAGAACCUCAUGAUGCUACUACUUAUAUUUCACUCUUUAGCAUGGGUGCAUGGUGGAGGGGGAGUUUUUUUUUUCUCUAAAGCGACUAGAGAUUUAAAUUUUUUUUUAGAUUUUUAAUUGAUACUUUGAUAGAUUUAACAAGUUAACAAGACUGAUUUAUUGGUACCUAUUUCAUUGGGACUAUACUUGUAAAAAGAAGAAAAUAAACUAAUAGGGAGUAGCCUCACUAACUGAUGCCCUAAUUGCCACUAAACAAAGGAGAGUGGCAAACUUACUAAUAUAUUGCAGUUUGAAAUUCAAUCAUCAGUUCAAAUUGACUCAAAGAUAGGGCCAAGUGAGUUGGUUCUUCCUUGUUGCUAUAAAUUUUCUAGAAUAUAUGGAUAAAGGACAAAAGCCUUUCCCAAUUACUCUCUUCUAAGUAUUUUGGACAAAGCAUGGUAUAGAAAUCAUUUUAGAGAAAAGGGAGGUUUAUAUCCUCUCCUCUUUUAUCCUAAUGACCGGAGAGAAUCAUUUGCAGAACCAAUGUUUGCCUAGUCUAGUUUAAAAGCUGCAUAUUCAUAUAUCCUAAUGCUAUUUUCACUAUUCAAUGCCACCUGGAUGCUAGAGGAUUUCCUAAUUCUGCUUUGCUUUUAACUUUCCACCACUUCCUAGUAAAGCUAGGAAUAAGAUAUUACUAAAAGUUACACGAAAUUACAGCUUACAGUAUAUGUCAAGUAUAAAUGGCAGUUUUUAUUGUGAAUUUUAUAAUGUGGCCAUCUAUACAACUUAGACCCAUUACCAUUGCCCAAAAGAACAAAUCUGAGAAGAUACUCUGUGCGCAUCAGUGAACUGUCACUUUAUAGAUCGCCCUCUAUACAUUCAAACUUGCAAUAAAUUUACAAAUGCAAGUGCAACUCCUACUACUUGUUAGACUAUCAUUUUAUCCUUUCCUUAAUAUAAAUGUAUAUUAAUUUAACUUGUUAGGUCACCUAAAGAAUGAAUACAUAUUGCCACCCAGUGUAACUGUUGGUUCCAAGGUGCUAAAAUUUUCGCCUAUCCCACACAUGGCCACCAAAAAAGUCUUCAGUGGGAAUCAAUCUAAUAAAGAAUUAAAAUUCAUACUUUGUCAACAUGAUGAGAUAGCACCAAAGCAAAGAUCUUGAGCACGGAAAAAAUAAUAACUGAUAUAAGAGAAAAAGGUACAGAAUCAGAUAAGCACUUCAUACGAAGAUCAAAACAAGAGGUUCAAAGUAAUUUGUAUGAUGGGGGCAAAAAAAGAAAAUUCAUUAAGUAUACACAUACCUCCCACAAUGACUCAGGAGAAAUGGCAUCAGAGGGUUCUGAAUAUGAGGAAGAAUAACUCAGCUUCCAUGUUUUGUCGGAGAAAAAAGUAACACAUGAACUAAUAAACCUUCCAGAGAUCACAAGAUCAACAGUUCCUCUAUAACCUAAGUUUCUAAAAUUACGGUCUUCAAAUCUCCAGGUGGCCUGUGAAUUAAAAAAUUAUAACACAAAUCUUAUAUUAGUAACUGUCAACAAGUUAGAAGAUAUAACUGAAACAUAUUUGAUCAGGUAAAGAAAAAUGUGACUUCACUUUAUAACAUGAUACAGAUACAAGAUACAUAUCUAAGAACAAAAGUAUCUUGUCAAGCUCCACUUACCUGACAAUCAGAUAGAAUGACUUCAGUUAAAGAUUUAGCAAAAGUUGGUACAAAUUUUUCAUGAAUACCAUGCAUACGUGAUAUUCACUUUAGCAAAGUUGGCUGCAUUGAUAUUUGAUGGGUACUUAUCUGCUAAGUUGCAGAUUAUCCCUGAUUUCUGAUUAAAAUAUGGAGGAGCAUGUUGAGCUGAUAUUAUGUUCAAAAUCUCUGCAAGUCCAAGCAUCCUUUUAAAAAAAAUGUUCCGUGGGUUUUUUUAUGACCAAAAGAAUCUUCAAUGCUCCAAUAAUACCAGAUAGAGGCAUUGACAGAAAUAUGGACCGCCAAUGUCAUCCCGGAUGUCCAGUCAAACAUGCCCAAUAAGAACCUGACCUAUUGGCUUAAAUCAUCAACAUGUUUUAUUUAAACCAAGUUUAAGCCAAAAAACCUUCCAAGUCAGUUGGGGGAAGGCACAUAUAAAGAAGAUAUGAUCCAGCUUCUUUCCUGCCCUCUUGCACCCUCUUGCUAAGCACGGAAAUGGAAUUUUGAAUUCCAUGAGAACAGUAGUUUUUUCCUUGUCUAGGGUUUCAAAAAGAUGGCUUUGGUAUAGUUAAAACUUGCAUACUUUUCAAACAAUCCAACAGACUCAAUCUUUCUUCCAAGCAUUCUAUGGGAAAAUUGCACAGGCCUAUAUGGCUCAAGAAGCGUCACUAAAUGCCUAAUUCAGGCCAACGUCACUACAACUUCAAUAUAGUCAAACAAUUUGGUACGUUUCCAUGGCUGAUUGAUAUAAAGCAUCCAAAAUUCAAUCUUUUUUUCUGAAUAUCAUUACAUAAACUCUUAGAAAGCUGGAGCAACCAAAUUAAUUACCAGUUCACCAAAACCAAGAAACCAAGAACUGUUUCAAAUCAAAAGCAAGAAAACCAGUAGAACGUCUCCAACAACCAACUGGCCCGAGAAAUAAAAGUUGCAAGAGGACCAAGAACUCACCAGGGAUUUCACAUAGUGCGACGAGCUCCUCCACCUCCUGCCCUGCCCCUCCUGAAGCUGCAACGAACACGGGGGCAGCGGCGUGCUGGCGAGCGACCCGGUUCGAUCCCUCGGCGCCUUCCAAGCACACGAGAGCACACUGCAUUCAUACCGCCCACUUCCACUCCCUUCUCCUUUAGAAAGCUUGCAGAGAUUCGCGCACUCCACAGAAGCUGCACCAUUCCAUCACAUUCCCAAUGUGAUCAAACCCAAAACCAUACUCACCAAAUCCAAAAAUCAAAACAAAAAGGAGCAACAAGAAUAGAAUUCGUACAACCCUACCAGAUAUAGACGGCACAGAAGCCAUCGCGCGCCCCGAAUUCCGAAUCAACAAAUCUCAUCGACCCCAAAGGAGGAGUGAUAGGUCUCCAACCACCCGCAAACAAACCAAGAAACCGAGAUUCUUCGGCGACGGAGAACCCACCACUCGUUCGAUUGAAACUAAAACUUCUUCGAUUACUUUGGAGAACACCAAAUCUCGAGAGCCGAUCGAAGAGCAAUCGAAAAAAUAAUUAGGGUUUAUUACAAAUCGGAGAGGGAUUGGAGGUAGAUGGAAGGGGAGGCGAGUGAGGGGAAGAAGAGAUAACGAGGAACACGAGGCCACACAAAGGCCGCGGCUGAGAAGAUUUUAUUUUUCUCCUUAUAUAUCUCUCUCUGGUCCUCAAGUCUCCUUAAAUGCCACUCGAGUUCCACGCACAAGUCGUUAACCAACCUGCUUCCCUUCUUUCCGCCGUAGACGAAAAUGACCUCGGAUAUUUCAUUAGUGACACUAGGAGCAUAUUCCCGAACCCGCGAGCGACUUGAAAGGAACUGAAGCGAACUUGAUCCAACGGAUAAAAACGUUUGAUGCAGAGUUGGUGGCGGUGAUUUCGUAGCAGGGAUGCAAAUUGCUCGACGGUGAUGGAUGUGGGAGCACAGAAAACGUGUUUACGUGGUUGCAGGGGAUCGGGAUGGGUUUGUACUGGCUGGACUUUUGUGGGAGAGGCGGAGGCAAGCCACAUGUGGUGCCGAUGACGUAUAUGUUUUUAUUGGGACACGUGGCAGGAGGGCGGCAAGUACGUAGAACUCGUGCCCCGUGGUUGCGUGCUGGCUCGGUGGGUCCAACUUUUUGUUGCUGGUUUGGGCCGGUUUCACGUAAAUGCGACGACGGUGGGCGCUACUUUUUCGGUGGGCUAAAUUUCGUGGUGUAUGGGGGACUGCUUUUAAAACUAAACCGGGGGCGGGCCUCCUUCCGACAAGCUAUCUUCAGAUGGGCCUGAUAAGAGAGUACAUGGUCCAAGAUGGUUACCAAACUGGCUCCCAAGCUGAUGUGGCAUGAAGAGAUUGGACCAGAAUGGCAGGAGGGAGGAUUGCUGCAACUUGUCGGGGCUGGACCGUUCAUGGUGUGCCAUGCCAAAGUGCCAUAUCGGAUUAGAUACCGGUCUGGCAAAAAUAUCUUGGCCAGGCAUUUUUAUUUUAAAUUUUUUUAUCCUACGAAUCCCCUACAGUGCAAGUCGAGGAUAAGACCGUAUUUUAGGACGAGGCUCACAAAAUUCAGACGAAGUCUCGUCUAAACCUUCACCGAUGUUGGAAUGGAAGUCUGAAAAGUAGACAGCCUUACUCACCAAGGAUGACAAAAUGAUCAGCAAAUAAGAAGAGUUUUCAAGAUCAGGAAAACCAGUUUCCAAGGAAACACAAGUACAGCACUAGCAUGCAUAGAAGCUCAACUGGAAGAAAAGAGCUGCUAAACUAUAGAAAAGUUGGAUGCUGCAACUUCAUCAUCUCCUGAGUCACAGGCAGUCCCACAACAUAAUUGUUGUAUAGAAAUUUUGAUAUUGUUUGUCAUUUAUCUCAUAACCUAAGCCUCUCCAUGCAUAGCAAUUGUUGCACAAAGAAUUUGCUUGGCAAAAAACUUAUAGAUGCUAUCACGGACAUGUCAAACUCUUACAUCUGUUGGAGUUUGCUACACUAAAUAUCAUGGAUCAGGCAAUGGUAUCAAGAGACGUUUCAUGUCAAGUGAAAGAUUAGAGUACCUAUUAUGUGGCCCCUCAUAUCACUAGUCCUAUACAAAAAUCCCAUGGUUGCCCACGCAAGGAUGGCUUUAAUUAAUUUGAGCACGCAACAUCCUUCAACAUCACCAAAGUGUUGGGUAGAUGAGAAACGCCAUAUACUACUAACCUAAGCUCAAGAGCCAAGGUGAGCUCUAGAACCAAUGACAUGCAAACGAUUGUAAGUCUCACUCAGAAAGAUGUAAUUUGUCCGUUAAUAAAGAAAAGCAAAUGCACCUUAUCUGAACUGAAAACUUAGAACCUGCAAGAGGAAAAAAAAAUCCCACCUCCAAGGAUGCAAUCAAAACCCAUAUGCCAUACAUCAUAGACUGGCAUGUAAUCUCUGAUCCAAAAAUCAACUUUUUAUACACCUAACCACCUUGGAUGACUGAAAAAAUUGAAGCAUAAUGAAGAAAAAUUGAUGAAGAGGUCCAAGGAAGAAAGCCAAAGAUAAACUAUUUCUAUACCUAAAUACAGAAAGCAUAACUAAUAACAGUAGAAUAUAAGGAAGAAAAAACCACCGAACAUUAGUAAACCAUCAAUAAGUGCCCUAUCGCUCAAAUAUUCUCUGCAAAGAAGUCAUUUCAAAAAUUUCUUUACUACCUUUACCAAACAAUCAAGCCAAACUCUCCUACAAAUAUCAUGCUCGCCAUGGUUGUCAUGAUGGAAACAAAAGGUGAGCCAUUUGAGCAAUGGAACAUAUAGAUUAGCAGUACAAAGAGACUCCAAAAUGGCACCUACAAUUAUUAAUUGAUGUUUUUUGAAAAAGGAAAAUGGAGAAAUUCAAAAACACUGAAAACAUGUUUCCAUGCGAUAUUUUCUGUGUGCAUUCCACAUACCAUACACAUCUUAAUAUUUCAGGUAUAAACAUAACCAAAAGAAAAAGGCUCUGAAUAUGGGCAUAACUAUAAAUUGAAUUGAGACAGUUUUUGGUGCGUGCGCAUGUAUAGAAGAAUCAGGGUUUCAGAAUCCACGAUUCUCAUUAGAUUUGGAUGUGGCCCUAUGUCGAAUCUGACCUAUAUGCACCCCUGAGCAUAACCUCCUUUCUGUCUGGCUUUACUAAGGCAGCAUUUAAACCUCAAGUGCAAGUAUGCAACCAUCCACUUCAACCAACAACAUAAACAACACCAUUUGUUAUGUAAUUUCUUCUAUGUUAGGACCAAGUUACAGAAUAAGGUGGCAGAAAGCAACUUAGUACCCAUAUACAGUUUUUGUGGCUUGACCAACAUUUCAACAUUGCUAUUAUGACAAUGUUUCCAAUGAUGAUAAUUGAGCUAUAAACUUUCCACUUUCCAGAAGUUUAAAACUAAUGUACAACAUAAAGAGAGCUCUUCCAUUAGAUAAUAAUAUUAAAAAAAAGGAGAAAAUGCAAAGUUUGUUGUGUUUCAAAUACAAGAUGAUCGGGGAAAAAAAAAGGAAGGGCAGAAGACUCCUCUUCAAAAAGUAAAUGUCUCACCUUAUUCUUAAGCAAGGCCUCAACUGAGUCUCCCACUAAUAAUUGGGCUCCGAACAUUGCACUAAAUAGAAAUUUUCUUCAAAUGCAGAAAAAGAAUCAAAAGUAGCAUUCAUAUUGUAUGUUACAUUCUUACAGAAAACACAAAGAAAUCUUUAAAAUGACACGAAACCUUGACCGGAUAUAUAGCAUUGACUAUGACAAAGGAGACCUCAAAAUAUCAAGGUAUAAUAACAAAUAUAGAAACACUUCUUGGCAAGGAUUGUUGUGCUGGAACCGGAGCCUAAACCGGUUGCCCGGUGGCAUGGGUCGGUACGCCCCCAUGUCGUUCCAUGCCGGGCCCAUAUCGACAUAGUAGAGAAGACAGAGAAAAAGGAGAACUGGAGAAAGAAAAAGAGAGGAAGAGGAGAGAGGAAGGAAGAGAGAAGAAGAGUGGCGGAGGCCAGCGGAGGGCCGAGAAGCCGCACGAAGGGCGGAGAAGGGUGGGCCUUUGCCCCUGUUUCGUUCAAAACAGGGAUCUCGGACGGGGCCUCUUUUUAUUUUUGAAAUUUUUAAAUAAAGUUGGCAAGAUCCUUCGGACUCCUCCUCUGGUUUUCAUGUUUCAUUCGAAACAAGAGUUUCAAAAUGAAACAAGGUCCCAGAGGAAGCCCCUUUUUAUUUUCAAAAUUUUUAAGUGAAGAACGAAACAGGAGUCAUAGAGGGGGGGGGGGGGUCUUUUUAUUUUCAUAUUUUUUAAGUGAAGCUAGCAAGGGGUUUGCAUGGGAAAGACGGCAAGAUAAAAGAUACCUCUUUGAUUAACAGAACAAAUAAUGAUACAGAUUUGCUUGGUCUCAUCAACUUUUGCUAAACUAUGACUUUGCUGAUUUUAUUACAAACCCCCAAGUAUUCACCUUUUCUCACUAUUAUAUACAUACUUUUCUAUCUCUCUAUCAAGCCCAAAUCAUUCAGAAUACAAAUCGCAUGUUAUGCUUAUACACUAUGAAUUCAUUUUAGCAUCUUUAACCUUUCAUAGUGAUAUCUUAGUACAUUUGACUCCUUUUGGCAGGCUCUCGUUCCACCUAUAUAUGCUUUUCAAGCAAUUCACUAACUGCUUUAUGCUCCAAUAAAUCACAUUUUAACAUUAUUUUGAUAAAGGAAUCAUACUUUACUCCAUUUAAUAGAUUUUUCUCUUUUUUUUCACAAAAAAGGAACUAGUUCAGUCAACAAAUUAACUUUCUAUAUUCUAAAGGAGACUGUGAUACAAUGGUCUGAUAACUUACCAUCAAUGUUUAAGAGUUAAAUAUACACUAGAAUUUGGCACAUGUGAUGCACAUAAUAAAUUUAAGAUGGAGUAAAAGAAGAGGUUGUGAUCUAUCAAUAGUGAUUCCUAUCAAAUUUUAGCUAUCUGUAUAAAAUAAAAUAUACAAAUACUAAUAUUUAACACUAUUCCAAUCCCAUAAAUCAUUUAAAUUUCACUUCCCAUUAUACUUUUACUCUCCUUAGAAUGCCCAGUUUAUUCAAGAGGAAAAGAAAUAAGAUUGAUGUAAUUCCAUCAAUCAUGUACGAGCAGUAUUUUAAGUACCAUCCUAGGCAUAUUGUAACCUGGUAGGGUACUGCUACCAGUACAGGGGCUCAGUAUGCCCCCAGACUAAUGCAUGAUACUAUUUGUUGUGUUGACUCCAACAAUAUACUUUUGCUAUGUCUUGACACAGAGGCAUUCCCAUACCAUAUCAUACAGAUACCAAUACAAAGACCAGAAUCAAGACCUAAGUAUUAGUAAUGAAUACAUACAGGGGAUCAGUUUUUCAAAGACAAGUUUUUUUUUACAUUCUCUAGGCAAAAAUAUGGAAGAUGACUUCUCUUCUUAGGUUCCUUAUUUUUCUAAAAUUCAAACAAGAUACUAUUUUGCUACGUUAUCUUUUUAUUAAAAGGGAAAAAAUAAGGUCCACAAAAUAAGACACUAUUAUUAAAAGCGAAACUUAUUGUUUCUUUUAAAAUAAGAGAUGACACAGCAUACUACAGGCGGUUAAACCCAAAUAUUUUCACAUAUAUUUAUACUAAAGUAAAAAUAAGUUGAAUUUUGAAAUAUUCCACCAAAAUUCCCACUCCUUCCCCCCAAAUUACCCUUGACCAAAGAAGUUGAAAAGAAAAUGUAAAAUCUCCUUGCUCAUAUCUCUCCCAAUCCUCUUACUCUCCUUACAUCAUAGGCAUUCCAGUCAGAAGAACAAUGAAGAUGUGGUGCCGAAAUAUCUCAACUUACAAUUGAUGCUUCUCCUCUAUUCCAAUCAAGUCCUCGCAUUAUCAUAAACAUAGAUGCCUCUCCUCAAUGGGCUAGGGCCAGUUAUUUGAUGGACACAAAAAGCUCUGCAACAUGGCACUAAGAGAUUGGUGUACAUCACAAGAAUUAGUGCGAUACACGGGGUGUGGUUGAAUGUUGAGUUACCAAGUGAGCAUUAGUAGGGUCGAGGAACUUUUGGUAUGCACAUAACAGGAGCCCCAUAUUGUCCCUCAUCUAUUCUUAUCAAAUCGGGUUACCAUCUCAUCUUACCAUAAAUAUAAACACCUUUCCUCCAAUCCAAAUAAAGGAGCUAAUCUAUGUUUCAAUCCAUUUUAAGCUCCGUCUAUGUUUUCUCUGACCACCUCUGCUCCCACAUGUCAAAUUUUAUCAAAGACUUGAUGUGAGCUUCUUCGGACUUAUCUUGAUUCCUCAGCAGCAUGAUUUUUGCAACAUCAACUGUGUGAUUCUUAGUCAGAACCCUAUUUAUCCAUAUCCUUCUUAUGAAACAAAAUGUCAGAUUUCUUCUAUUUAUUGUAACAAGGGCAUUUUUGUUUAUAGUUUUAAGAAAAGCUUAAUAAUUUCUAGGGAAAAUGGAAGUGGCUAUAACAAACAUUUCACAAAAAGUCUGAAGUUAUAAAUUGCAUCCCAGCAGCAACAGCCUUUGUGAGUUGGACAUGUUAUGAAAUUGGUAGGCAAUCUAGCUGCCAGACCAGAUGUGUCUUUUCUGUAUUCUUUCUUCUUUAAUAUCAUCUUGAAUUUCACUCCACAUAUAAAAUUUUCUAAGUAGCAAGAAUCGCAGUUAUAGAAACUUCUUUGGGCUAAGAGAAGAUGUAAUUGCAUGUUUACCCAUACAUUAUGAUGUAUAAUUAUGGUUUCUCUGAGUUUGAAACUUAUGACAUUGUUACCCAACAGAAGGCCAUUGUCACUAAAGGAAGGGAAAGAAACAGAAGGGAGAGAACAGAAUUGAGAAUGGUAUCGUCUCAUCAUGCAACAUGCCAUGGUACCCAUUAAAUAUUUGGUGUACUGUCUUUGAUCAAAUCAAGUGAAUAUUUUCACAAAAAAUAUAAAAUUUAAUGCACACAAGCAGGAGAAAACAAUCAAUGCAUAAAAAAGAAAGUCAGAUAUCUAUCGCAAUUGAAAAGAUUUAUAUGUCAACUAUCACGACUUAUAUCUAAAGAAUGCUAGAAAACUGGUAUUUCAGGGGGAAAAAAGUGUAGGUGUUGCUUCAGCUUGAGACCCACAAUAUGCACUGCCAUGACAAAAGAGAAAAUCCAAGAAGUGCAAACAACAUUGAACUGGCUAAUGCCAUGAUGAGGGAAAAAAGAAAAGCAGUUCAACAUUUCAAGAGCAUGUCAGAUGAGUAUCAAGGUAGCAGUAGCCCACAUGCACAACACUUUAUGUGCAAAAAACCACCAAUAGUAAUAUGAUUUGAGACCAUAAGCAUGAUUUUUAAACUGUCAAAAUUAAAAAGUUUGAUACAGUAGCACAAACAUACUAGUGAAAGCAUCCUUAACUUCAUAAUAAAUUUAGCGCAUCAACCCAUAUGUUAAUUCAUCAAGAAUCGUAAAUAUUUCCCCACACAUGUAACCAAUAGAGAAGCAAAUAUAAGAGCUACACCUUGAUUAUUAUGUCUAAAGAAUAAAAACAAUGAGCCAGGGCAAGAUUGCCCAAAGGAUCUCUAAUCAGCCAACUUAUUCAGGCGGUGAAUAGUACUCCUUGCCAGUCGAUUACUGGGAUCAAUCUUCAGAACCAUCCUCAAAUCUUCAGCGCCAAGUCUAUACUUUUCGCUGCUCUCGUACAAAAGUGCGCGUUGCAGCAACACAGACACAUUCGAGCUAUUAUGCUCCAAUACCUGCAAACCAAUGACCAUUUGAAAAUUUUAUUAAAUAUAAUCAUACCAUAAAAGGAAAGAAGAGAACACACUUCUUAGCAUCCUAAUACCUUUGAACAAUCAGCAAUGGCCUUCUUAUACUCCCCAACUUCCUUAUAACAAGAAGCCCUGCAGGACAAGACCUCAGUGGCAGCAUCAUUUUCCCCAGAUUUUUCUAUAAGCACAGCUGCCCAAGAAAGCCACUUGAUAGCAUCGGCGAACUGCCCCUGCUUGUAACUUUCCAAUCCUUUAGUUUUGGCUGCCAAGAGUGUGACGCCAGCAGGAGGUGGCGGGAGCCCCUCUAGCUCUGUUGUCGUCUCACCAUCAUCAUGUCCCCCAAACUCCGCACCCAAGUCCCAAUCAUUCACCUCCGAGAACGGCUGGCUUCCUGGUACCUCCGAAGCAGCUCUUGCAGCAGGAGCAGACGAGACCGACGAGGAGAAGAACAUAUCCAUCGGAUCCGCCCCACCUUUGGCCGGAGAAGGCUGUUGUGAUGGUGGAGGAGCCGAAAAGCUCGGAGCUGGCAUUCCAAAAUCAUCCAUUUUUGCUGAAUUGGAAUUCUGGAAUGCCCCGAAAGUGUAAUCAGCACUACCACUGCUGGACGUUUUGGAGGAUUUGGCCGACGAUAUCGGUUGUUUUGCAGAAGGAUUCGAUCCAAAGUCCAUCAAUGAUCCAAAAGGGUCCUUUUUAGCAUUCAUCGGCGGCCCCCAAGCUGAUGAUUUCAUCGGUUGCCCGCCGCCCAUUGGAUUCCCGAUCUUAUUGCCGGAUUGGUUCAAAUAUGAGAAAUUUCCAAGAUUAUCCGCCAAUCCCCGGCUGGAGGGUCUCAUCGGGGCGUUGUUGGAGGUGGUGGAUGCUGUGGCUGCGGUGGUGGUGGAUUUGGGAAGGGAAUCGGACAAAUUACCCAUGGAGAAGGCGUUCCUGGGGGCGGCGGCCUUGAGGGGAACGUUGCCGGCGGCUGAGCGGCCCUGGCCGAGGGCGGAUCCGACGAGAUCGCUGAAAAGACUGGGAUUGUUGUUGGGGAUCCCGAGGCGAGAGGAGGAGGGGGUGGGGGCGGCGGAGGUCCAGCUCUUGCCGAAGAUGUCGCCGACCAUGGAAGGAGGGGGGUUGGCGAUGCCAGAUCUGGAGACGGCGGAGGCGGAGGCGGAGGAGGCGGCGGCGGGGGCUGGUGGGUCCACGACGGCCGGGCGGGCUGGUGGGUCCACGAGGUAGCCGGCCGGGAGGCGGCGGAGGCGGAGGCGGCGGUGAAGGAGGGGUUGGGAUUCUGGUUGCGGAGGGGGCGGGAGGCGGAGCUCCGGCCGGCGGCGAGGCCGAAGUCGAAUUGAUCGGAGUCGAAGGAGACGCCGGAGGCGGCGGCGGAGGACGGGCCACGGUUGGAGCUGUUUCCGGUGUAGGAGUUCAUGACGGCGAUGGGAUCAGGUCACCGCCGGGGUGCGUCGGGGACGGAGACGCCGCGAUCGGCCGAGAGAGGAAAAGAAAGGAAGAGGCGAGGANNNNNNNNNNNNNNNNNNNNNNNNNNNNNNNNNNNNNNNNNNNNNNNNNNNNNNNNNNNNNNNNNNNNNNNNNNNNNNNNNNNNNNNNNNNNNNNNNNNNNNNNNNNNNNNNNNNNNNNNNNNNNNNNNNNNNNNNNNNNNNNNNNNNNNNNNNNNNNNNNNNNNNNNNNNNNNNNNNNNNNNNNNNNNNNNNNNNNNNNNNNNNNNNNNNNNNNNNNNNNNNNNNNNNNNNNNNNNNNNNNNNNNNNNNNNNNNNNNNNNNNNNNNNNNNNNNNNNNNNNNNNNNNNNNNNNNNNNNNNNNNNNNNNNNNNNNNNNNNNNNNNNNNNNNNNNNNNNNNNNNNNNNNUCUCCCUCUCCCUCUCUAUCUUCUUGUUCCUCUCAACGUCCGCCGUCCUCUGUUCCUUCUUCUAUUCUUUCUUUUUUUUUCAUUUUUUUUGUUUUAUUUUUGGGAGCUCGUGGCUGCCUAUGGUGGCAGCCACCACCCAUAGCCGGCGACCUCUCUAUAUUUCAAUGAAAUAAAAAUAAUAAAUAAAUAAAUAAAAGAAAAAUAAUGAGUGAGUGGCAAAUAAUCUAAUCUAAAUAAAUAAAUAAAUAAAUAAAAAUAUUAGUAAUUAUUUAACUAAUUUUAUCACCUAGCUAGAAAAUUUGUUAGAGAGAUAAAUGAUUAUUAGAAGGAUGAAAAAUUAAUUUACACUAAUAAUUAUAAUAUUUUAUAUAUUUAUUAUUGUAUUAUACUAUAAAUAUAAUAUUAUAUUACAUUAUAUCAUAAUACAUUGAUAUUGAUAUGUUAUAUUAAAUAAUUUAAUAUUAUAUUAAAUUAUUAUUCUAUAAUACAUAAUGUUAUAGUACUAUAUUAUAAUAAUAUUAUAUUACAUUACAUUAAUAUAUACUAUAUCAUAUAUUUAUGUAUUAAUACAUAUUAUAUUUUAUUAUGCUCUGUUAUAUAAUACUGGUAAUGUUCCUUAUGGUCAUUUUGUCACACAAAAGUACUUUCUUAGUUUGUUUACCAAACACAUGUUAAAGUGUUACAGCACUUUAGAAAUAUAGUUAUCAAACAACAAAUAGUUUUUUAUAAACGCUCUGCUUCAGACAACUCUAUUUCCAACAGCUCUACUUCCAAAAGCUCUACUACUAAUAGCUCUUCCAAAUAAGGCCUAACUUGGGUGGAAGCGGAUGGGGUUUUUUCUAUCUAGCGUUGGAUGGUUAUGGCAAGCCUACGAGUUUUUUACAACUUCGACCUCUCACCAACAUUGUGGCUUAAUUUCUAAUUUCACCGGAUGUCCCCAAAGAGACACCUUUAUUUCAAUUCCACUGUUUUGGCUUUUGGUUUCUAUAGGCUGCCGGUUGACAUUCUUGUUGUUUUUGGGAUUUUGUUCCAUUGAAAAAAUGACUUGAUGUAUGUAGAAGGAAGGACAGAUAAAGAUUAGGGUUUGAAGUAAUACGAGAGAACUUGGACAUUUUAAUCUCUUCUAGAAAGUGUAGUCCUAAAUCUAGUAAAAUGGGGAAAAAAAAUUCAUAUAGUCCAUCCUGGCUAGUUUAAAUUAAAGCCGAGUUGAAUUGCAAAUAAGUGAAAUUAAUUUUGGAGAUAGAAUUUGCACGGCGAUUUAACCUUAUAUCUAUUCAUUUUAGUUCAAUCUUCUUCUUCAUUAGAUUUAAAUUUUGUUUUAACUAAAAAAUUUAUAUAUUUUUGGGAUAAUAACCCUUGAAAUCACGUACCACCCUCCUUUGCCGAUUUAUGACAGUGACAAAGCUCGCGCUAACUAAGGUUCAAAAGUCAUUACCGAGAUUGCCUAAAUAGCUAAAGUCCCAUAAUGUGCAUACAAGGGAUGAAAAUUUUCUUGACAUUCUUGUACUGAUAAUUAAACGUUGAAUGACAUAUCUUUCGAUCUAGUUUUACUAAUUGGAAUCUCAUUUCUGCCCAUGGCACUCAUCACAGAUCAUGGCUUUAUAUCUCCAUUUCCUGCAUGAAUUAGAGAACAGGUGUGAUACAUGAGAGGAUGUUGAAUCUUAUAAGCACCUCCAAAAUCACCACAUAAUGAAAUGUUAUUUAUUCCCACAGAUAUACAUUGGUUUUUAACUUAACCCUUGAGUAAUCUAUCCAUAUUAUUUGUGAUAUUAUAUAAAGCAAACUGAUGAUCCUUUGGCUUUAAAUUUCCAAUGUGCAUAGCCAUCUAUGAAACCGCAGCUAUCAAUGCUUACACUGAUAUGCAACACAAUCCUAAUAUCAACCUUUAUUACAUGAUCUAGAUCUAUAUAAAAGUUCUAACCACUAUAACUUGAUUUCAGCUACAACACCAGUAUCAACCUUUACAUGAGAUGUUAUUAAUUAUUUUAAAGAUUCUAAUCCCGAUAUUAAUGCUCAGGUUUAACCUAAACAACAUCUCAAUGUCCUCAACUAUCUUAUGUUGGGAUUUCUGCGACACCAUGCACAAUAAAAGUCACGUCCUUCAAAAUCCAAAAUCCAUGGUAAUCUGUCGGCUAUAGCACUUAAAACUCAUCUAGAUUGAAAACUAUACAUCAAACAAAUAUUAAACAAUUACAAAAAAAUCUUAGCACCUGAUUCAUGUUUAAAUCUUUUUAGAAACUUAUUCUGUAAAUAAAAUACUUACAGUAGCCAUCUGCAUUAUAACUAGUUGAUUAUAAAAGGAAAAAGUAGUGAAGAAUCCAUGAUGAUGAGAAUAUAACGAUGAACAUAGCACAUCUGUGGUCUGAGAAAUAGAAAUACUUGAAGGCUGAAAUUUUAGAUAAGCACGCUAGCAAAAGUAAAAUCAAUCAUACAGAUAGAAUGAUAUUUUUGUUUUAUUGUAAAGCAUAGAAAAAAAGAAGAAAAAGAAGAAAGAACUGUGAAUAACUCUCAAAUUAGAAUUCUUAAAAGGCCAGACCACUAUUUCUCUGCCAUACAAAUCUUUACUGCAACCGACUACCCAACCCUCAGUUAUCUCUCUUAUGACCAACAAUAAUCAGCAUAUGGUGGAUCCAUAGAUUAUACUUAUGGUCCAGCCAAAAUAUAAAAAAUGAUGAGAACUCUCUCCAUUAUUUAUAUGUAUAGGAACAUCACUGGGAAGUUUCCACCAUCUAUAUCAGAUUAAGCAUCAUAAUUGGUAUUUUUUCCUUCUUUAUUUUGGCAAUGAAACAUUGCCAUCGGUGAAUAGACAAUCUAAGACUGAAAAUUCAGGUGCAUCACUCAAAUACAAUACUAAAUUUAGCAAGCGUUAAUCAUUGUAAUCAUCUCCACAUUUGCAUCAUACUCACCCACUACGACGUAAAAUUUUCAAUAGUUCAAAAUAAAAAAAGACAUAAAUAACACAUUCGGCAUACAAGAAAACUCCAUUUGAAUUUCGAAAACAUCAAAUAUUUACAUCCUCUUGUAACUUCAUGCCACCACAAGCAUCUUACAAAACAUUUUCACAACAGUUAUUAGUCAAAAACAUAAAGUUGUAGGCACCUGUCACUAUGCACAUGAUAUCUGUGCCCCACAAAAUGAUUCAGCAUUUUUUUGAUCUCCUUUCUGUAUAAGCCGCUUGGCUUUUGUGUCAACUUGGGAAUAGCAUCUUAUGUUCUCAAAUUCCUGUAACGAAGCUCUACUUUCCACUGCCAAACCGCAAUAACCUUUUCCCAGGCAACAUAAGAUUGAUAUCCUUCACUCUUUAAGAACAACAGACUCCAUACUAAAGUCUAGAGUCUCAGCUUUUGUCCCAUCAAAUUAUCCUCCUCCUCAGUUCCGAUCAAUUCAGUUUAGUAUUUCAAGGUAUUUUACAGUAAAACAAUGGAAAACGUCCAUCAAGUUGACUAAUCCACAGCCGCAUAUCAUGCUAAACAUAAAAAGCCUCAAUCAACCUUGCAUAAGCAGGGCUCUCUGUGCAUCGGUGCCAGAACUUGUUUGACAAUAACAAAUAAAAGCAAUGCAAUUGAAAAUUUUUGACUAAGAAACCAAAUUAUGCCAUCCCCACUUCCCAUUUGCUAACAUUGCACCAAAACAUCCCUGCAGUUGUCCAUAUUACACUCCACCUUACAGCAAGCAUGUGAUAAAUGAACCUACCAAGUUUUAUCAAGGAAAAACUGAAUUCAAGUUGAUGAUGCCUAAAUAGACAAAGUAUGAAUGUAAGUUGUCUCCCUACCAUAAGCUACUGUAAAGAUGGGUAGAUAUCUUGUCUCCCUACCAAAGAAUGAUAUCUUGCUGCUCAUGGUAUGCAUCCUACACUAGGUUAUGAAGGCUGUUGAACUAACAUUCAGUCAUCAAGCAAUAGCAUGAUCUUCAUUUUUUUCUUUUGUCGGUACAUCCAUUGUUGAUGUUUUUCACCAAAAGCACAUUUCCAAAAGGAGCUAUGAAUCUCAUGAAGGAUAUUCAUAACAGAAAUAAAUUGAAUAACUAGAAGACCAAAGCCACAAUCCUAAGGAGCAACUGGAUAUGGAUUAUGCCAUGGAUGCAGUUCAAUCACAUGAGAACACACUAACUUUGGCUCCAGAUUCAAAGUUGUAACCACCACAACAAAGUUUAAGAAGUUGAAAAGAGGAUGAGGACAUUCACAGCGUCCGACUUCUUAUGGCCCAUAUCAUACAGCAAAUAGAAACCGGAACUGCUAUAAUCAAUUGGCCUCAAGUUUCCAAUUAAUAUGAAAAAUGGAGUGUUAAGCUGCUUACUUAAGAGAUUUUUCUACCAGCAAAUUUUUUUCCUGGAAAAAAGAAAGGAGGUUAAACGAGUAAUACUAAACAACAAAAUACUACCACAAUGUGGAACAUCGAAACAUGUUUCACAACAGUAUUGCUACAAGUCAUGAUUUUUUUUAUAGGAAGUUGUUUUUAGGGAUGAGAACAUGUAUUAUCUUGCACAUCCACCGCAAGUAAAAAGCAAUAUCAAAUAUCUAAGUCAGCAAGUAAAAUGCCAAGAAAUCAAUCUCAUACAGUCUCUACCACGUUCAUAGAAACACUGCUGCAUGAGUACCUUAUAAUAUUACCACAAGAUCAACAAAGAUGAAAUACUUAUAUCAGACUAGAAUGUUAGAAUAUCCACUUAAAUGGAGUCCUUUUACAUGCUAUGUUCAUGAGAACCACAAUGAUUACCAUGUCACUUAAAGCAAUUCAAAACCCAAGUCUCACGAACCUCAAUUCCCUUCCCUUGGUACCUCACUCUGGUAUUGUUGCUGUGAUUUCUGCGGCAUUUGCUCUGACAUGGGUUGUUGUCCACUCUGAUAUCCUUGCUGUGGAUUCUCAGACAUUUGCUGUGAAUUGGGUUGUCUCUGAUCCUGUGCCCACCCACCUCUCUGCAUUGGUUCUCUUCUUUCGACCUGCAUAGUUUCUCUCCGCCUAUCAUAUCGAGGACGUGGCCUGCCCCUCGUCUGCUGCCUCUCAUUGAACCGAAACUGGGGUCUAUGUAUGACCUUACCGUCAAUAAAAAGAUCCCCUAUUGGAUUUAAACAAGAUAAAUAUCAUUAUCAGCAAAAUAACUGCCACAAUCCAAUCUACCACAAAAGGCAACAAUUCAACAUGAUUGAAGACCAAAACACAAACAAAGAAAAUGACUAGAGAAUCAACCAAUCAAUUCAAAUCUACUCUAUUUUCCAGAAAUAAAAGGUCCAUGAAACCAUGUUUAGUGGUUGCACCAACCUCCAUAGUCCUUGUUGGGCACAUCUAAAUAGGAAUCCGGCAAUACCCAAAGAACUCCAGGCAGUCCUGCCACAUAAGAGAUCAUAUCACUUCCAUUCCACAACAGAAAUAACAGAUCGAAUUGCUUUCACCAAGAAACCAUUUUUCCAUUCAAAACGAUCGAAAUUCAUCCACCCAAUACCUUUAACUUUGUAAGAAAGCUCUUCCGAGAUCAAAGCCCCAAACCCCGUGUAAGUUGUGGUGCAUACCGAGUAAAUCUUCUUCUUUGCCUCCUCCUCACUGAGUCCCAAAGCACAAAGCUCACAAAUUUAAGCCAGAAUCAAAACAACGAGAUAUAGAAUUCUCCGAGAGAUUCCUAGUUUCUUACCUCCCGACGACAGAGGCAAGGGUCUUGACGUAGGCGGCGAUCAUCUCGUCCUCGGAGGGUUUAGGGUUUUCGGGGAACUCCAUUACGAUGAGCCAGUGCUCGUAGUCGCAGCCGUCGAGGAGGAUGGUCUCCUUGGGGGGCCGGUUGCUCCAGUUGGGAGAAGGGUCAUUGAGGGGCGAGUAUCCCGACCCGGAGGUCGUCUUCAGCCUCGCCGGCACGGCCCACAGCGCCGGCGAACGGUGGAGCGUCUCCAGGACGGCGAUGGAGAGGCGGAACGGAUGAAGAGGAGAAGGGAGGGAGAGGGGCGACCUCAGAGGAGGAGAGGAGGCGAGAGCUCGGGAGAGGAGAGAGGAAACGCUGCGUCGUGCCAACGCCGCCAUAGCCACGAUUUCCCUGAGGUUUCGAUGCCUCGAGCGGAAGCGAAGGCAACGAAGUUUUUAAUGGCUCUCGCGUUAGAAUUAAGGAAAGACUAUGGGCUGGGCCCAAGGACCAUGAGCCCAUUACUGAUGGGUCCAUCACUAUCAUGAGUAGGGACAAUUGUGAUGGGAAGGAGACCAUUCAUCUGAGGGAAAUGGUGGAAGAAACAUUUACAAAACAACUUGAGAAUGAAAUAGAAUUUGAGAAAGGUUCUUUUUAUCUAUUUUCCUUUUAUCAAGAUGAGUACUAUUUCAGUCCAUUGCAUGGUGACACAUCAUGCUAUUUGGUUUGGAUAGCUUAUACAAUAUAAUCGAAAACUUGAUCUGACCUAGUAAAUAAUCAACAAAUUGAUGUGCCCUGAUGUUCUAGUACUAGUUCAAUAAUCAAGAAGGUAACAUCUGAUCAUAGUCAUUUAGGAUGAGUUUUGAGUCAUGAACUAAAACUCAAAAUGUGAAAAAUAUGAUGCAAGCAUAAAUGAAAAAUGGACCAACAUUAAAACAGCAAUGGAAUUCGUACUAAAGUAUAUUGGAGAAUCCUCUUAGCAUUCAUCACAGUAUAUGGAAGAAGCUAGAAGCCUUAUCCAAUAUCGGGAUAGUCAAGUAUGCAUGAAUAAAGCUUUUUUUCCUUUUUAUGAUCCAGAUAAGUACUUAUUUUCAAACUACUAUUUUUUAGUAGUUUUUUUGACCUAAUAACUACUUCCUUGGUAGUUAUGGGGAGUUACCCGUGUGAAUAACUCCUCGUUAUCCUGCUAACUUCCUUUAGAAAGUUAAUUUCAGUAAGUAAGUAUCCAAAUAUGGCCCUUCGUGCGAGCGACAAGAGGCCAAACACAGUUCAUUCUAGUGUUAUGCAUAAAUAAUUAACCAAAUUUUGAUUGACCUUAUAUUUUUUAUCAUUUAUUGUUGUUAGUUGAUGACAAAUUAAUUUUUAAGUAUGAACAUUGCCUCUUGUAGUUCAAUGAAAAUGAAAAUUUUUGUUGAGCUAGAUUAGCAAAGUUUAAAUAUAAUAAUGCUAAAUUGAUUAUAAUAAUAGGCUACUGACCGAUUGCUUUGACUAUAAUGCAUUAUCGUAAUAUCUAACCCAUUGACCUGCAUAUUAAUUGCAAUAUAGAACUCCUAAUUUUUUUUAAAAUUCCGAGACUAAAGAGACUCCUAAUUUUUUUUUUUAAAAGCAAAACCCAAGAUUUGAAUUAAUCUCCUUCAAGGGCAAGCAUUUAGGGAAAAGGUGCCAACGAAUUGAACAUAUAAUUGUUAGCCGGUCUAAUACUAGUUUGAGCAACAAAUUCUGUUUCAAAAAAAGUGAUAGAAUUUCCUUAUUUCUAAUUUAUUGGUAUAGUGGAAUCCAUGCCCCAUCAAAUCCAUAUCUUCGUUCUCUUUGCAUCCUUUCCCAGGCCUUUAGAAUAUGUUUGGUUGCAACGAAAUCCAUUAAAAGGAAAAGAAAAAGAGGACUUUUCAUGAAAAUCGAAAAGUUCAAUGGAAAACUAGUUAUAUAUUCUCUGAAUUUAUCAAUUCUCUACUAAAAUAAAUAAUUAGAAAAAUCAGUCCUCCCAAGAAAACUUAGUUUUUCAAUGGAUUUUCGUAGCAACCAAACACAUCUUUCGAAUAUUAACUUAUCAUAUUGCUGGAAUAAUUGCCAUGGACAAUGAAAGCUACCAUGCAAACAUUGCUCUAGACCCUAGCUAGCUAGUAUAGUGGUAUGUAUUUGCAGGCCUUUUCCGCUAUUUUAGCCUCUGUGGGGCACCCAAUUUGUUAGCGAAGAGCCUGGCUUAAGAAAAAAAGCUAGCAAACGAAGACUUGGGUGCGCACACAUAGAUCAAAAGACAAAUAGACAGAUAGAUAGGUAGACAGAUAGACAGACAGAGAGAAGAAAAAUGAAAAUCAUUAGAGGCACAUAUUUGGUCCAAGAUAAUCAUGGCUAGCUGAGGCUAUUAAAGCUAACCGAGGCAACCUUUAAUAGCCUCCUCCUUUUUUAACAUCAGCAGGUCUUUUCCACACCAUCAACCUCUCCGGGCCCAGAGAUACAACAAACUCACUCCAAAAUGAAAGCUCCCUCCUUUGUAAAAGCUCCAAUACGGCUGUGGCCACUAGGCAACCAUAUCACAUAUGCAAACUAGACACCCAUCAAAACAAAUCAAAUAAACUAGAUUUUGCCAAACAGCUAGUAGUAUUAUAUUGCUUCUAAAUACUAAUACACCAUGUUAUGAUGUUACAUGGUACAUACAUAGAAGCAAGCCGUAUAAAAAGCUAAGCUACGUAGCAUCCAUGCAGACCUUAGUGGAGCACCCGGCCACGGUGCGGGUGCGACACAAACAAAACCCCCCCGAGUUCAGUAGCUUGGGUGCUAUAAAUUGGCUCUUUCUUUGGAGCAGUAUUGCUUUGGACUGGCUUGGGGUGGUAGCUUGCAUAAGGUGGUGGUGGCCUUCUCUUCCGGACCAGGCACUCGUCCAGAAUGUCGAAGGCCUCUUUCCCUACCUUAGCGAGGUGGGUCUUGGUUGCCAUGCACAAGAAUAGCUCAGGUAUGGACAAGAGCCAAGGGCUUCUCUGUUUUGGGUUGCUAGGGCCGUUUGGGUCCCCAUGCCAUUCUUUAUAGGCAGGUUCCUUCUCGGUUGACUCCAGUUGUUGCUGGAAAUUGGACCCGGGGGCCGCCGUGAAGCCGGGGAAGGAGGAGCUCCGCUGCUGCAGGGGGCGACGGCGGUGCGCCGGCUGGCUGCGUCCUCCGCUGCGGGGGGGUGUGCAAGUCCUGCAAAGAAAACCGGUGNNNNNNNNNNNNNNNNNNNNNNNNNNNNNNNNNNNNNNNNNNNNNNNNNNNNNNNNNNNNNNNNNNNNNNNNNNNNNNNNNNNNNNNNNNNNNNNNNNNNNNNNNNNNNNNNNNNNNNNNNNNNNNNNNNNNNNNNNNNNNNNNNNNNNNNNNNNNNNNNNNNNNNNNNNNNNNNNNNNNNNNNNNNNNNNNNNNNNNNNNNNNNNNNNNNNNNNNNNNNNNNNNNNNNNNNNNNNNNNNNNNNNNNNNNNNNNNNNNNNNNNNNNNNNNNNNNNNNNNNNNNNNNNNNNNNNNNNNNNNNNNNNNNNNNNNNNNNNNNNNNNNNNNNNNNNNNNNNNNNNNNNNNNNNNNNNNNNNNNNNNNNNNNNNNNNNNNNNNNNNNNNNNNNNNNNNNNNNNNNNNNNNNNNNNNNNNNNNNNNNNNNNNNNNNNNNNNNNNNNNNNNNNNNNNNNNNNNNNNNNNNNNNNNNNNNNNNNNNNNNNNNNNNNNNNNNNNNNNNNNNNNNNNNNNNNNNNNNNNNNNNNNNNNNNNNNNNNNNNNNNNNNNNNNNNNNNNNNNNNNNNNNNNNNNNNNNNNNNNNNNNNNNNNNNNNNNNNNNNNNNNNNNNNNNNNNNNNNNNNNNNNNNNNNNNNNNNNNNNNNNNNNNNNNNNNNNNNNNNNNNNNNNNNNNNNNNNNNNNNNNNNNNNNNNNNNNNNNNNNNNNNNNNNNNNNNNNNNNNNNNNNNNNNNNNNNNNNNNNNNNNNNNNNNNNNNNNNNNNNNNNNNNNNNNNNNNNNNNNNNNNNNNNNNNNNNNNNNNNNNNNNNNNNNNNNNNNNNNNNNNNNNNNNNNNNNNNNNNNNNNNNNNNNNNNNNNNNNNNNNNNNNNNNNNNNNNNNNNNNNNNNNNNNNNNNNNNNNNNNNNNNNNNNNNNNNNNNNNNNNNNNNNNNNNNNNNNNNNNNNNNNNNNNNNNNNNNNNNNNNNNNNNNNNNNNNNNNNNNNNNNNNNNNNNNNNNNNNNNNNNNNNNNNNNNNNNNNNNNNNNNNNNNNNNNNNNNNNNNNNNNNNNNNNNNNNNNNNNNNNNNNNNNNNNNNNNNNNNNNNNNNNNNNNNNNNNNNNNNNNNNNNNNNNNNNNNNNNNNNNNNNNNNNNNNNNNNNNNNNNNNNNNNNNNNNNNNNNNNNNNNNNNNNNNNNNNNNNNNNNNNNNNNNNNNNNNNNNNNNNNNNNNNNNNNNNNNNNNNNNNNNNNNNNNNNNNNNNNNNNNNNNNNNNNNNNNNNNNNNNNNNNNNNNNNNNNNNNNNNNNNNNNNNNNNNNNNNNNNNNNNNNNNNNNNNNNNNNNNNNNNNNNNNNNNNNNNNNNNNNNNNNNNNNNNNNNNNNNNNNNNNNNNNNNNNNNNNNNNNNNNNNNNNNNNNNNNNNNNNNNNNNNNNNNNNNNNNNNNNNNNNNNNNNNNNNNNNNNNNNNNNNNNNNNNNNNNNNNNNNNNNNNNNNNNNNNNNNNNNNNNNNNNNNNNNNNNNNNNNNNNNNNNNNNNNNNNNNNNNNNNNNNNNNNNNNNNNNNNNNNNNNNNNNNNNNNNNNNNNNNNNNNNNNNNNNNNNNNNNNNNNNNNNNNNNNNNNNNNNNNNNNNNNNNNNNNNNNNNNNNNNNNNNNNNNNNNNNNNNNNNNNNNNNNNNNNNNNNNNNNNNNNNNNNNNNNNNNNNNNNNNNNNNNNNNNNNNNNNNNNNNNNNNNNNNNNNNNNNNNNNNNNNNNNNNAUCAGGUUUGCAAAACCAAUAGGAGGCAAAGAGAAUGGUUUGAUAUGAUUCGGCUGACCAUGGUUAGGAAGCAUGUGUGAGUCGAUCAGGCUUAGCUCUGGCCGAGGUUCCCUUAUACUUGCCUUCUAAUAUUCUGCUUUCGGCAAACUUGAUCUAGAAAGAUAUUACAUGAUAUAGUCUAAUUUGAGGAGAAAUUAUUAGUUGGCCCGGGUCCACCAACUCAGCGGUGGACCUGUCCAACCAGAAAGCAACAUGGAUCCGCUUCCUUUUUUUCUUGUUUUUUGUCGAUGACUAGACUAUCCACUGUUAAGCUGGUAGAUUUGGUCCAACUAAUAUUUUUUUCUAGUUAAGUGGUUGGUUUGACCCAAUCUUCGGCCAACUGAUGCAGGUGGAUAAUGUAUUUUCUUUAUGCAGUUAAUUGUUGAAAUUUUGCAAUAUAGGAGUCGCGAUCUUACUUUUUUCAAUAAUGUAGAUUUAUUUCACCUUUAUAUGAUUCUUCUGGAUUUUUGGGAGUGGAAAAGCCGGCAUCUCGAUGUUUUUUUAUUUUGUUUUUGAGUAAAAUCUCAAGAGGUCAUAUUUAUCUAUUAUGAUUUUCCAGCUUUUAUUCUCAUGCGACCCCAUGUUAGCAUUAUGUUGAUCGUCUGACAAAUAUAUGAAGUUAGUCUCCUUCAUACACAACAUAGAUUUGGUGUAAUAAAAAGAAUUUGAUAGAGGCAUCUGAGAUUGGAAUCACAUCAAAACCAUUUGGAAUCACAUUUGCUUUUACUGUCCAGAGCAGGAGCACAUCUAGGAAAGAAGUUAUUAGACAAUAUUUGCUUAGAUUAAGAUACGUUAAGAUGAUCCAGCAUUAUCUCUUUGCAUAAAAGGCAGUGCGGAGCUGAGGGCUGUCUGGGUAGGUCUUCGACAUGCUCAGCAUGUGCUAUCAUCUAGUUCAGUUAUCUUGGAUGGUGAUUCGGUUACAGUCAUCAGCUAGAUCCAAGAAAAUCCGAGGGUCGCUGCCGGUGACCAUCCAUUGCUUCGUGAUAUCUGAAUGAUAAUGAGGAAUGGAGGGGUUGUCUAGGCGAAGCAUGUGUUUAGAGAAGCCAAUGACGAUUGCGGACUGGGUGGUCACCUACGUGGCUAACCAUACCGAUAGCAUCAUAUGGGCGGAGGAUAGAGAGCUGUCUUGUAAGUUUCGUGAUAUUUUGUUUUCCGAUUUUAUUGGGUGUAUCCGUACACGUAUUAUAUGAAUCAUCCGUUCUAGCAAAAAAAAAAAGAAGACGAUGUGUGCUACUGUGUGUGUGUGUGUGUGAGAGAGAGAGAGAGAUCUGUGCAUCAAAAGCAUCAUUAUUUCAAAAGGAUGACUCGUCUCUAGAGAUAUCAAAUCUAACACUGGGUUGGUCGGGUGUGAUUGCGCUUGCCUGCUUUAUUUCAUUUCUUGAGCCUUACCCUCAUAAAAGUCGACCUUUGUCUACAAGUUGGUGAGAAGCGUAUGGAGACUGUGGAGUGGAAUAAGAAGGCAUCAAUAAAGGGUGAAGAGAAGCUUGUGCUUAUCCAUCUGAUCCUCCAAAGGGAGUGGAAGAGGCCACACCUGGGUUAAGAGAAUCCCACACUUUCCCAACCCUUUUCAGCUACUGGAAAGUGUGAAUGGGUCGUGAAUCCAAGGUGGGUUUGGUCUUGGCCUGGUUCUGGUCUUCCUUCCCUAUGGGCUGAGCACCAAGGUUCUCACUGCCACGUGUCCGACAGCCCUUGGUGGUUUAUAACCUUAUUCAUAAAAGUCGGAUUACGGGCAGUUCGAUUGUCAUUACAAAAAUGACACAUCAACAUAUAUUUUCUUGUGGGCCAGAGUUCCACUUUGGGCCCACAGAAGUUAUCCCUAGAAUUAUCCCAAGAGGAAUAAAGUCCGCCAUCACAAAAGAAUCAGAUGUCCUCAACCUAAUCCGACAAGCUCGUUCGCGUAACACAGUUCAAUUUAGGAUGAAUGCACCUUCUCUGCUUACAGACUAGCCUAACGUGAGCUCGACCUAAAUUUUUGGAGUUAGGUUGGGCAAUAAGGGCUAGGUAUUGGCAAAGCGCGUCUGGAUUGCCUGUUCGGCUCAAUCUAACCUAUUCGAGCUACAUUAGUACUGCAACAUGAUUUUAGCACGAAAUUGGAUUUAUAAGAACAAAUUGGACAAUACCGACCAGAACUAGACUACCGGAGCCAACCGAGCUCGAUCUAGACCGGUAGACCCGACCAAGUUUGAGGAUUUGAAGCAAGCUACUAAAAUUGCUAGACCGUAACUUUUUGUUAACUUGUAACGAGAAAAGUGUUAGCUAUGGACUUGCAACAUGUACAACUCUAAUUUGGCAAAACAAUCAUGUUACAGGGAGAGAUCAAGCAUACGAGACGCACAGGCCCUUAUCAGAAUAUCAUGAACCAUCUAGGCAAAAAUAUCAACUCUUCUAAUAAUCAAGGUCAUGGUCAAUGCUUCAUCUCUAUUUGCAGGCAAUUCAUUGUUGAAGGACAUAUUACAGUGGAAGAGGGCCAUGUUCCUCUAAAAUGACCCAUAUUUUUCGUAAGGGGAAUCAAACAAUCGAGACCACAGAUUCUCUAUAUUGCACAAGCAGCACCGCAGAGUGCCAUACAACCCUUGAUGGCCGCCAUCAGAAGAUGGAUGACGAUCAAACAAGACAAUCCACCUUAUUUGAUGGUCGCCUAUCUUUUGAUGAUGACGGCCAUCGAGGGCCGCGUAGCACUUUGCAGGCAGCCCANNNNNNNNNNNNNNNNNNNNNNNNNNNNNNNNNNNNNNNNNNNNNNNNNNNNNNNNNNNNNNNNNNNNNNNNNNNNNNNNNNNNNNNNNNNNNNNNNNNNNNNNNNNNNNNNNNNNNNNNNNNNNNNNNNNNNNNNNNNNNNNNNNNNNNNNNNNNNNNNNNNNNNNNNNNNNNNNNNCUGAUGAUGACGGCCAUUGAGGGCCGCGUAGCGCUUUGCAGGCAGCCUGCGCAUUAUAGAGGAUUUGAUUGAUUGGGUUGCCACUCAAGCUUGGGAGAGGAAUGUUUCUUUGAUUGUGGGGGACACCAUUCCACCGUCCUCGCAGACUAUAUUGGCAGCUGAUGCAUUCGUUGUAGAUUUCCAGCAGGGUUAAUUUUUUCAUUGGUUCUUGCCCUUUUUAUGUACCAAAAAAAUUAGGGAAAAUGCUAUUUUUCAAACACAUGCAUAAAAAAUCUCCAUUGAGACAUCUAUGACACAUCAAGGGAGACCUUCUGAAAGCAUCCCAUAUACCCAUUUCCAGAGCUAUGCAAGCAAUAAUGGAACCCAUCCAAAGUACAUGUUAGUUACAGUGCACCUGAGGAGGAAUCGUUAUCCCAAAUGUACAAGUGCCAUUCCAUGCUCCUAAUCAUGGCAGUUCGGUGGAGAUAUGGAUCCUCUUCUGCUAGCUAUAUAGCUCAUUGAAUCUUUGAAUAAAGAUUGGGUCCCGUCUAUCCCAUGAAAACCUCUGGCGUUGCAAGGGGCCCCUUAGUGAUUUAUAGAUAGCUUUCCCCCACAUGGCCUGUCUUUUUUUAUGCAGGACCUGUCUUGAAUAGUUAACCUGCUCUACCACUCUUAGCUAAGCCUAACAAAACUAAACCAAACCAGAUAUAUGUAACGUAGGGAAUAAUUUAAUAAGUGUUUUGGCACCUGAACAACCUUAGCUUUUGUUUUUAUUUAAAAUGUUAUCUUCUUGUAUGGGAACAAGUGGAACGGGGACCGAGGAUACGCCGCGGGAUGGCAGGUUUUUGUCAGCCAGCCCACUGGGUUUGAAACCUCCUGGUUUUAUGUUUUUGGGCUUCUUCCAUGUCUAUGUGAGAUCCGUGUGAAUAUAUAUUUAGUCCUACAUCCAUUAUUCACUGGACAGAUCUUAGAUACUUUUAUAGUAUUGAUUUUUAAAGUCGGAUCAAUUCGCCCAUGAUGGAACGACCCGAUCCAUUUUAUUUGAAGGGAGACAACUCUCCAAGGCAUUUGUUGGAUAUUUGAUAAUUGCCAAAGACAGUUGAUUUCUGCCUUUAUCUAUACAGAUAGUUGCAAAAUAAAAAAAAAAGAAGAGAAGAGUGAUCUUUCUCCAUAUUUUUUGGGCAAAAAGGGUUCUUGAGUUGUAAUCAUCAAGAGUUUUCAAUUCUGUAAUUACGCUUACGACUUGUGAUUCGACCGAAAGCUGGUGAUAUAACCAUAUCUAUAACAAGUAAGUUUGUUUCAAUCCGUUUUGAUUAUGAUAAAUUUUCCUACAUGUAGGAUCAAAAAAUCUAAAUAAUAUCUUCCGGCUAGCCAUUUUGGAAGGUCCCGGAUUGUUACAAAUGGUAUCAGAGCGGACCCGGCUCAUAACCUAUGUAGAUUAGGAAAACACUACAACACAAAUCCAUUAGGGCAGACUACGGACCGAUUGUGGUGCUUGUGAUUAGAUUUGAAUGGAAUUGAACCCUUAGCAUGGCGAAGACGUCAGGGCUUAAGCGGGAAGAGUAUGUGAGGAUCCGUGCAGGUGUGUGUUUAGUCCCAUAUUGGUUAUUCGCUGAAUAGAUGUUGGGCAUUGCCUUUGAUUGUUACAGUCCAAACUGCUGUUCUAUAUGAGCUUAGUCUCCUAAAUUAAGGCAGGUGUUGCUUUUCAUAAGAGUUAAUCUUAUCCAUAGUUAAUAUGUUUAAGAGAACAGGCAUGUCACGGUCUCACGGAUGGCCUAGUUGAAAAGUUGGCUCAUGAUUUGUCCUGUGAAACAAAGGUCACAAUAUUUGAUUCUUCCAUGGAUUGGUGAUUUCGAAUGCUUUGAUGCUAAAACCCUCAUCUCUGCAUUAAGAAAAAAACAUUUCGGUGCAAAUCAUGUGAUUGGAAACAUACUCAGAUAUAGAUGCAGUAGUCAAUUAUGGAAAGAUCAAAUGAUACAAGUUUUUUGAUGAAGCGAGUGAAAUGAUCAAAUGAAGCAAAUGAGCUGAACUCUAUGGAAGAUUAUGCAUAUCCACUGCUAUAUUGGUAGAUUUUUAGUAGUCAAUUAUGGCAAAAAAAGAAGGGUGCGACGCUUUUUGAUCGAUAUGAUUUUUAUCCAUUUAAUUGAGUUGGGUUAUAUAUGGAUGCAAAUGGACUUCAUUGACCGUUGAUAAUUGCUCAAUAUAUGGAGACAAACAAAGUGUGGAAUAAAAGGAGGCAAAUCAAAAAGUUUGAUUAGUUAUAGUGAUAGAGAAAGAAAACCUUUUGAUGGGACAUAAAUAGGUUUUUUCUAUAUGUGUAAACAUUAAUUUUCAUCAAAUCAAAUGCAUACAGAUGCUAUUUAUACGUAGGGAUAAUGUAACUAUAUAAUGUAAGAGUCUCCCACCAUUUGCUCCAAAACAAAAUUUCCAAUGAGAGAGAAGUGGCUGGAAGCCCAACAAAAGGUAAAGCUUGACUUUGUAUUGGAUGGUUGUAAUUUUAGAACAUGUUUAUGUCAAAAAUAAUUCUAGACUCCAUAACUAUUUUAAUGGACUGACCUUCCUAUAUGUUUAUGGGCUGCACUGUUAUCCAACGAGUCAAAUAAGAGCGAGCCAACUGAAAGAGGCAUGGAGUUCGAUUUAAUUCCAAAAAACUUGAUACUGGUCGCCUGUAAUAUCUAUUAUCCAAUCAUUCAUUUAACACUCAACUCUUGAAUCCAUGAACAAGAUUAUGUAUAUAGCUAGAAACUUGGAAGCACCAAAGCAAAAGGUUUUUGUAUGGUGCAAAGGUUUUUGAAGUAAGAUGCUGCUAUGUUCCUCAUAACCUCUUCAUAAUAAAUGCAAACCUGCUUUUUAGCAGAGUAUACAAGUCUCAGUUGUUAAUUUGGGACCAAAGUACUAAAUUUAUUCUUGAUGUUUCAGAAAAAAAUCACAAAUUGGACAUAUUUCAGGAAUGGUUUGGGAUAAACAAAAUAUUUUUAUUUAAUAAUAAAACUUAAAUAUAUAAUUAUUUAAAGAAUGGUCUUGCUUAUAAAUUGUUGUAGUUCUUUAGCAAAAUGAUUCAAUCAUGGCAUAAUCCAGCGUGUUCAGCGAAUCCAGUGAGUUUAGCAAAAUGGGUGGUGAGUCCUCCAUUUAAAUUAUCCCAUGUCUCUUUGAUCGAUGCCACUGAUUUAUUUAUCUAACUUUUUAAACAAAUUGAUGUCAUCCAUUUCAGUAGGUGGUUAAUACCAGGAUAAAGAGAGAUUUCAAUUCAUGUCUAUUGAAAUAAAAGUUUGUAUAAAUUUGGAUUAGGAAAGAACUAAAAUAUUUCAAAGUUCUGAUUAGACAUAGUCUUGGACUCUAAGAUAUCAAAUACCAAAUGAUACAAUAAAACCAUCAGUACACAACAUUAAUUUUAUAUUUAAAAUAAAUUUUUUAUUUAUAAAUUUAAAAUAAAAAAUAAACAAAUUAAUAUUUUGAAAAAUAUAACAUAAAUAAUAUAAUAUAAUUAAUACAAGUGAGAUAUGAUUUGUUGGAAAAUGGGCUGCUCGUUUUGCACAAAUGAAAAGUCUACUGGUCCACAAUCACUAACUUUGCAAUUUUAUAACAACAAAUCUAUAAUUUACACAAAUCAUUUCUUGCAACAAGAUUUGACUAGCACUGUUCAUGUUGAUUUAGAUAUAAGCAAUGGAGUAAAAGAUAAAAAUACUAUCAUUUAUGAAAAUUGGUGAUUAGCUGAAUAGUACCUAAAAUUCUGACUGACAUGAUCUAUUUUUAAAUUUUUUUGGUAAAAAUCUAUUUUUAAUUUUUCAUGCACCACAUCGAUCAGGAAAAUGGUCUUUUGGUGGUGAUGAAAAUAGGUGAUCCAGAGCAUGGAAUGGCCUUGCACAUGAAGGGCUCGUUCCAUUCGCAGAAAAAAAAAGCCAAUAAAAAAAUAAAAAAUAUUUUUAAUUUAAUUAAUUUUUUUAUAAAUAUUAUAUUUUUUUUAAAAAAAUUCUGCAAGCGAGUUGUGGGAGGUCCAGAUCCAGAAAACAACCAAACCGAAACUCACGCAUCGCUUGGUUGGUCGGGCGCCGCAUCUGAUGCCCCCCCCUUGUUUAAAUAUCCCCCCACCGUUCGCUCAAAUCCCGUGGCUCCCCGAGUAGAAGCUUCCUCUCUUUCUUUCGCCGCUCGAGUUUCUUUCUCCCUUUGCGUCACCACCGCUCCUUCCUUCCCCUGUUCUCGGUCCGAGACUGUGACGUCCCGCCAUGGCCACCCCCAAGCUCGGCCGCGUCCCCACCAUCCGCGAGAGGGUCGAGGACACCCUCUCCGCCCACCGCAACGACCUCGUCUUCCUCCUCUCCAGGUCCCCUCUCUUCCCUUCUCUUGAUCGUUCACCUCGUCGAUCGAAUUCCACCUCUAACCGUAACUCUAAACCUAGCCAUGGAGGCACCGUCGCCUGUGGUCGCUGACUAUGACUCUUCGAUCUUCGCAGGUACGUGAGCAAGGGGAAGGGAAUCCUCCAGCCCCACCACCUCCUCGACGCCCUCGCCACCAUCGACGACGACGGCCGCAGCCGUCUCUCCGAGGGCCCCUUCUUCGAGGUCCUCAAAUCCGCCCAGGUUUAAAACCCCCCAUCCCCGUUCCUCUAUUAUCUCUGCAUCCCUAAAUGGAAUUGUUUCCCCGUCGGUAUUGAUGUUAACUUGUUUGGCUGGGAAUUAGGAAGCCAUAGUUCUGCCACCUUUUGUGGCCAUCGCCGUCCGGCCGAGGCCUGGCGUGUGGGAAUACGUGCGGGUUAAUGUCUACGAGCUUAGCGUCGAGCAGCUCACUGUGGCCGAGUACCUCCAUUUCAAGGAAGAGCUCGUCGAUGAGCGGUAACGAUCCAUACGGCCCUCAAGAUGCGGUAUUUGUAUUUCUGUACUCUCCCAUCUCAUGUGAACUUCGGAUGUGUUGAUUAUUUCAGUAGCUAUAAUGAUCACUUUGUGCUGGAGCUCGACUUCGAGCCUUUUAAUGCCUCAUUCCCACGGCCGAACCGGUCGUCGUCCAUCGGGAAUGGAGUUCAGUUCCUCAACCGGCACCUCUCGUCUAUUAUGUUUCGGAACAAGGACUGCUUGGAACCCCUGCUUGAGUUCCUCCGGGCACACAGGUUCAAGGGUCAUGUAAGUGUGGCUUGCAGUGAAACUGAGAAUAUUUCAUUGUAAUGUAUGUCAUCAUUAGAUUGAGUCGGAUAUAUCGGAUGGGACAGGUGAUGAUGCUGAAUGAUAGGAUACAGAGUGUGUCCAGGCUUCAGUCUGUGCUUGCAAAGGCCGAGGACCAUCUGUCUAAGCUCCCACCUUCGACGUCAUUCUCUCAAUUUGCUCAUGUGUAAGCAAAAUAGCUUCCCUCACAUGUAUAAUCUUAGCAGGUAGAGCUAUCAUGGUCUAGUAUACUUUUUAUAUGAAACAAUUAUAGUCAAUUAUGAGCUGAAGAAGCUGGUGCUAUAUGCAAACUGUACCUUUUUGCAUAGAUUUAGGGUAGAUUUAACCUUGAAAUGGUAUGGCGGCACACACUGGUUUAGUACCCUACAAAAUGAUUUGACCAAUAUUUACUUUUUUAGUCAGAGGUGAGUGAAUACAGCUGCAAGGGUUGGUCAUCCGGCUGCUAUAAAACCAGUUUAUCAGUGAUUUAUCUCCUUGAUUGGGGAGAAGGGCUUAUUUUUCUUGGACAUAAUUUGCCAAGCAUGCCAUUAUUGCAGGUGUUACAAAACUAGACCUUUGUAAUUCCCAAUAUUUGAGCCAAAAUUUCAUUACUCUGCUUAAUCUGGGUGUGCUAGCUGCCUUCAGUCAAUCCUUGAUCAUGACUUUCUAGUAUUGACUAACUGUAUUUAAGAUUUUCCUGUCAGGAACAGCUUAAGCAGCAUGGGGUUAUAGAAAAGGAACUUCAGGAUCUAUAUUUUUAGAAGAUUAAGGUCACUUCACGCCUGUUGAUAACCCUGUUAAUAAUUAAUUUGCAGGUUUCAAGAGAUGGGUUUGGAGAAAGGUUGGGGCGAUACAGCUGAACGAGUGCUGGAGAUGAUUCGUCUUCUGCUGGAUGUUCUUCAAGCUCCUGAUCCCUCCACUUUGGAGACAUUUCUGGGGAGGAUACCCAUGGUGUUCAAUGUUGUAAUUGUUUCUCCCCAUGGGUACUUUGGCCAGGCUAAUGUAUUAGGUUUGCCAGACACUGGAGGGCAGGUAUUAUCUUGUUUAAUAAAAUCCAGUUCUGCCUUUCCUCUCUAUUUUACUGGAUACUUUGAUCAUGGAGAUGCUUUUCUUUAUGGGUGUUUGAAAGUUCUUGGUUUAACCGGAAGAAGUUUUCUUAGCUUAUGCAUAUGAUACACAGAUUGUCUAUAUAUUGGAUCAAGUUCGUGCACUAGAGCAUGAGAUGAUUCUGAGACUAAAAAAGCAAGGGCUGGAUGUUGAUCCCAAAAUUCUCAUUGUAAGUAUAUUUGAAAAUUACUUUUCAUGUUCAUAAUUUAGAGAUUUCCAUUUUCUAACCAUUAGAUUUACUCGCAUUUUUCUUCAUUUAUAUGAUAUUGCAUGUUGUCCUUCUGUCACUAACUAUAUUUACUGCAUUUGCCUCAUUAUGCUCAUGUAACUAGCUUGCAUUUCUUUCCUUUUCAUUCCCUUUUUAUUUUUACUUUUCAAAUUAAGUUCUUAUGCCAUUUCCUGUUAACUGAAGGUGACUCGGUUGAUACCUGAUGCAAAAGGGACAACAUGCAAUCAACGGCUUGAAAGAGUUUCUGGAACACAACGUACUUACAUCCUGCGGGUGCCUUUUAGAACUGAAAAGGGAAUUCUUCGGAAAUGGAUUUCAAGAUUUGAUGUAUGGCCUUACUUGGAAACCUUUGCAGAGGUAACCUUUCAUAGAUAAGUUUUAAUUCCCUCAAAUGAAAUGUCAUGAUUUUAGUUAGACAUUCUCCAUGAAAACACCUUAUUUGAUAGAAUACAAUUGUAGCAAAUCGGCUUCCGAUCAUUCUUAUUGAUCUGGUGUUUUGGCUUCAUAGGUUUGCUUUGUUUCUAGGUCCACCCUUUUCAAAUUUGGAGUUCUUGAACUUAUGGGUCUUAUUCUGGCCUUCUACAAAGUUCACCUUGGUUAGAAACUCAGGGUUCAUGAGUUGUUCAUUGUCUUUCUCAAGGUGUUGUUCUUGGAUCCUAAUGGCAGACAAUAGGGUUUUCAUUGUCAUAUCCUCGGUUUUAUGUUUUAGGAAUAGCCCAAAAUCUUUCCAAGAAGGUGGGAGCUUAUCAAUGGUACAAGCAACUUGAAGGCUCUCAGUUAUACCCAUUCCCCUUAAACCUCAUUCAUGAUAAAUCACAAUUAACUCAUGGGCUUGGUCAACUACGGGCUUGGUGUCAACCAUCUUAUAAGACAUGAAUUGAUUAGGAGCAUGAUGCAGCGUAGAAGACCAAGUCUUUAGGGAAGUUUGAUUAAGUUCUACGACUUGUGGAGUUUGUUUGGUUUUAUUUGAAUUCCUCGUAUCUGUCAGCUAGAAAAAUAAGCUGAUUAACAAUGCUUGAUAGCUAUUUUAUAGGCUUGUAAGUUUGAGUCUUUCAAACACAUCGGAUUUUCUAUUUAAGUAUAUUUCGGAUUCAAAAGAAAGAAAGAUGAAGUUUGAUAAAACCCAAUCCUUGUUGGAGAGAUUCCUUCAUUCAGGAGUGAUUCCUGAUUUUCUUCUUGAGUUGUGAACGUGAGAUUCAUUUGCAGCUUAAGAAAUCUAUCAAUUUUGGUAUCAGAGCCACCUUCAUUUCUUUUCCCAAGCCACCUUCUGUUCAUGACUACCACCAGAAGUGGUAAUUCAUACAACAUGAGUCAACCACAAAACCAACACCUCCGCCCAGAAACCACUCAACACAUCGACCAAAACAUCACAGCCACUACAAAGGCAACCAACCCCAAUCCAAACCAAAUCAAUGAACUAUUGCUACAAGCUAUUCAACAGCUUCAAAUUGUUACCCAGAGGAUGGACCAAAGAAUGGACCAGUUGUGGAACAGGGUCUUGUCCGAGGAAGAAAGGGUGGAACCACCCAACCAUGAGGAGGAGAUGGGAGAAUCAGAGCACGAGGUGCACAUGGGGAGACGAAAUCGUGGACAUCAUCACAUACCAAAUUUUGUUCAUGGAAACCGUGAGGGGACCAAUGGAGGAACAAAUGGUGGGCAUCAUCACAGACCAAAUUUUGUUCAUGGAAACCGUGAGGGGACCAAUGGAGGAACAAAUGGUGGUACCAAUGGAAUGCACGUGAACCGCUCAAUGAAUUGACCAAGAGGAUGAAAGUAGAUGUUGCAGACUUUCAUGGAAAGCUUGAACCCCAUUCUUUCCAGGACUAGCUGACAGCAUUGGAGGAUUAUUUCGAUUGGUUCUCGGUGUCGGAAGAUAGAAAGGUGAGGUAUGUCAAGAUGAAAUUGAAGGGACAUGCUCGGGCUUGGUGGGGAAGUGUGGAGGAGCACUUGCAGAGAACAAGACAACCAGCAAUUGCUGAUUGGGAGGAGAUGAAGCUUAAGCUAAAGGAGAAAUACUUGCCUAUUGACUAUGAGCAAGUUAUGUAUGAAGAAUUGCUUUUGUUGAAACAAGGAACAAUGACAGUAACUCAAUACACUGAUAAGUUCCAUGAACUUAAAGUGAGAAGUCAAGUGGUGGAGAAUGAUUAUCAGACUAUUGUGAGGUAUCGAACCAGAUUGAGAGUUGAUAUCCGUAAGGAGUUGAUGAGGCAAAGGCUACUGAAUGUGGAUGAGGCCUAUCAAAUGGCUCUCCGCAUUGAAGCUUAGACUAAUGAGACCAGUUUUAGGAGAACCAGCACUCAGGAUUCAUGGUUUGCAAGAUCUGUCCCUAACAGAUCUCAAACUUCGAAUGUACAAGGAAGAAGAGAUAACAAGGGCAAACAGAAGAUGGAAGGAGAGGGACCUCAAUGCUACAAGUGUAAGGGAUUUGGGCAUUAUGCAGUAGUUUGUCCAACAAAGGACCGGAAACCAACUCUAGUUUGUGGCAAAGACAUACCUGAAUUUCAUAUGGAAGAAAUUCUGUUUGAAGAAGAGACAAAAGAGGAAGACCACAAGGAGCAUUUGGAAGCCUCAGAGCUGCCAAGUUGUGUGAUCCAAAGGGUGUUAACAGGCCAAAAACUAGAUGAAGAAGAGGAUUGGAGGAGGACUAAUAUGUUCCAUACACGAAUGGAAUAUGAAGAAAAGUCGCUGAAUGUGAUUAUUGACAAUGGGAGUGGGAUGAAUGUGGUUGCAGAGGAAGCUGUGGAGUGUCUUGGAUUGUUGAAAGAAAAGCAUCCGAGGCCAUAUAAGAUUAGUUGGGUGGAUGACAACACUACUGUCCCAGUGAAGUACAUGGCAAAGUUUCAUUUUCUUUGGGAAGAAACUAUUCUGAUCAGAUUCUCUGUGAUGUUAUUCCCAUGUCAGUUUGCCAUAUGUUAUUAGGAAGACCAUGGAUGUUCGAUCGAAGGGCUGUGUAUGAUGGAUUUGAGCAUACUUUUGCAUUUGAUUUUGGUGGCGAAAGAAUUGUGCUGAAGCCACUUAAGAUCUCUGAUUUUAUAGAGAAGAAGAAAACUGAAACUACUAUGCUGAAUAUGAAACGGUUUGAGGCAGAAAGUAGUAAAAAGAAUGUGAUUUUUUUUCUGCUGGGUCGAGACUCAAAACCUGAAGGAGACAUGGUACUAGAAGAAGUGCAACCUCAGUUAGACCAGUUUGCAGACUUGAUGCCCGAUGAGCUACCCAAACAACUCCCUCCCAUGAGGAAAAUUCAGCAUGCUAUUGACUUGAUACCAGGUUCUUCUUUACCAAAUAUUGCUUCUUAUAGAAUGAGUCCCACUGAAAGCGAUGAAAUUAAGCGACAAGUCCAGGAUUUACUUGAUAGAGGGUAUAUUAGGGAAAGUUUUAGCCCUUGUGCUGUUCCUGCUUUAUUAACACCAAAAAAAGAUGGGAGUUGGCGAAUGUGUGUUGAUAGUAGGGCUAUAAAUAAAAUCACCGUCAAGUAUAGGUUUCCAAUUCCUAGGCUUGAUGAUAUGUUGGACUGACUUUGUGGAGCUUCUAUUUUCUCAAAGAUAGAUUUACGAAGUGGAUACCAUCAGAUAAGAAUCCGGCCUGGUGAUGAAUGGAAGACAGCUUUUAAGACAAAAGAUGGGUUGUAUGAGUGGUUGGUCAUGCCUUUCGGCCUAACAAAUGCACCAAGCACAUUCAUGAGAGUAAUGACUCACACAUUGAGGCCUUAUUUGGGAAAAUUUGUUGUUGUUUAUUUCGAUGACAUUCUUGUAUAUAGUCAGAAUCUACAGGAGCAUUUGGAUCAUCUUAAGCAUGUGUUUGAGUUGCUCCGGACAGGACAACUUUUGAUCAAUAAAAAGAAGUGUUCGUUCAUGCAGCGAAGGGUGAAUUUCUUGGGGUUUAUAAUCUCAGAUUUGGGAGUAGAAGCAGAUAAGGAGAAGAUUAAAGCUAUAGUUGAGUGGCCAACUCCGAGGAAUAUUCAUGAAGUUAGAAGUUUCCAUGGGCUUGCUACCUUCUACAGGAGGUUUGUGAAGAAUUUUAGCUCCAUUGUUGCACCUCUGACAGAAUGCUUGAAGUCGAAACAAUUCAAAUGGACGGUUGCUGCAGACAAGGCAUUUCAGGAGAGCAAGUGCCGAAUGACACAAGCUCCAGUUCUAUGCUUAUCUGGCUUCAAUAAAAUUUUUGAAGUAGCUUGUGAUGCUUCACAUGUUGGAAUUGGAGGUGUGUUGAGUCAAGAAGGUCAUCCAAUAGCCUUUUUUAGCGAAAAGUUGAACGAUGCAAAACGAAGGUAUUCUACCUAUGAUGUUGAGUUUUAUGCAUUAGUUCAAACCCUAAAACAUUGGAGGCCAUAUCUCAUUCAUAGGGAGCUCAUAUUGUAUACUGAUCAUGACUCUUUGAAAUAUAUAAACUCCCAAAAGAAAUUGAGUGCCAGGCAUGCUAGGUGGGUUGAUGUAUUACAACAGUAUACAUUUGUAAUUAGGCAUAAAAGUGGUUCUGAAAACAGAGUAGCUGAUGCCCUUAGUCGUAGGAUGUGUACUUUGGUUUCUUCCUCCAUUAACUUUAUAGGACUCGAAGAAAUCAAGAAACAAUAUGCUGAGGACAAGGAUUUUGGUGCUGUGUGGAAGGACUGCAGAGAUGAUGUAGGAGCUAACAGAGAAUUUGUGUUGAAGGAUGAUUAUCUGUUCAAAGGGACGAGGCUAUGUAUUCCUGCAAGUUCUUUGCGAGACUUUAUCAUUGCUAAGCUGCAUGGGGGUGGAUUAUCUGGUCAUUUUGGCCAAGAUAAGACGUAUGCUUUAGUCAAUGAUAGGUUCUUUUGGCCAUGUAUGAGGCGAGAUGUAAAGAAGAUUGUGAGAAGAUGAAGGGUUUGCCAAUUGAACAAGGGAGGAAAGCAAAAUAUAGGGUUGUACAUUCCACUUCCAGUACCAAAUCAGCCCUGGGAAGACCUCAGUAUAGAUUUUGUUUUGGGUCUCCGUAAGACACCAAGGAAUAAUGAUUCAAUAAUGGUAGUUGUCGAUAGGUUUUCAAAGAUGGCCCAUUUCAUACCUUGUAAUCACACCUUUGAUGCCUCAAAGGUUGCCGGGUUAUUUUUGAAGGAAGUUGUGAAGUUACAUGGGCUGCCCAAAAGUAUUGUUAGUGAAAGAGACAUUAAAUUUGUCAGCUACUUUUGGAAAAUCUUGUGGCCAAAGAUUGGAACCAAACUGAAGUUUUCUAGUGCUUUUCAUCCACAAACGGACGGACAAACGGAGGUGACUAAUUGUAGUUUGGGUAGUCUAUCGAGAUGUCUGAUCCAAGAACAUUCCACCACAUGGGAUCUAAUUCUUCCAUUAGCUGAGUUUGCCUUCAACAACUCAGUUAACCGGACAACAGGCUGUACACCAUUCGAGAUUGUGAAUGGAAGGAAGCCAUUUACACCGAUUGACCUUCAUGAAUUGCCAAGUUCUCAGCGAAUGAGUGAAGGUGCAGUUGAUUUCGUCAAGUAUAUGCAAGAUGUUUAUGCAGAAGUUAAGAGGAAGAUUUUCCAGCGGAACGAAGUGUAUCGAGCUCGGGCCAAUGCAAGCGGACGUGACAAGCAGUUCAAUGAGGGAGAUUCCGUUUUCAUCAGGUUAAGGCCAGAAAGAUUUGAGCCAGGAUCAUACAACAAAUUGCAUGCCAGAAAAGCUGGACCUUUUAAAAUCCUUAAGAAGUUGGGCUUGAAUGCUUAUCUUAUUGAUUUACCAGCCAAUUUUGGGUUUAGUCCAAUUUUCAAUGUUGAAGAUUUAACUGAGUUCCAAGGAGAGACAGAAACUGAGCAGGUUGCAGAGGAAACUCCUCUGAGGCUACCUCCCAAUAUCAAACCACGUGAAGAGAUUGAAGCGAUCCUAGACCAUCAGUUUGUCACUACUCGAUGAGGAGGGUAUUUCAAGUUCCUGGUCCGAUGGAAGAAUCGUCCUCUAUCAGAGUGUGUAUGGUUGCAGGCUGAAGAAAUUAAUCGACUUCAUCCAGAACUUUUACAGCAGUACAAGACUCUUAACUUGCCGGAGUCAAGUUCUUGAAGAGGGUGGAAAGUUGAUGCAGCGUAGAAGACCAAGUCUUUAGGGAAGUUGAUUAAGUUCCACGACUUGUGGAGUUUGUUUGGUUUUAUUUGAAUUCUUCGUAUCUGUUAGUUAGAAAAAUAAGCUGAUUAACAGCGCUUGAUAGCUAUUUUAUAGGCUUGUAAGUUUGAGUCUUUCAAACACAUAGGAUUUUCUAUUUAAGUAUAUUUCGGAUUCAAAAGAAAGAAAGAUGAAGUUUGAUAAAACCCAAUCCUUGUUGGAGAGAUUCCUUCAUUCAGGAGUGAUUCCUGAUUUUCUUCUUGAGUUGUGAACGUGAGAUUCAUUUGCAGCUUAAGAGAUCUAUCAGAGCAUACUUGUCCAUUCCGGCAUCUUAGAUAACAUAUUUCUUCUUAAGAUCAUCACAAAUCUCCUUGGAGGUUUUAAAAGUGCAGUAGACAUCAAAAAGGGGAUCAGAAAGAUAGGACAUAAUCCUUCCCCUAAACAGGUAGUCUUUCUUCUUAAAUUCCUUCAAAUUACAAGUUCUAGCCGGUUCAUUCUCUUUCUCAUUUGGAGGAGAGUCAAAAAUUAUAGAAAAUAACCCAAGUGUGGUUAAGAAGGUUUCCAUCUUCUGUCUCCAACGUUUAAAGUUAUUUUCAUUAAACUUUUCAGGAGAAAUCGAGUCACUUGCAUUGGCCAUUGGGGUAACUUUAAAUACUAGCCUUUUUAUAUGUAGGAAAAAUCUACUUCAAGAUUGUUGGGAGUAACAAGUCCCAGAAAAAUUAAAAUCUAAAAUAUUCUACUUCAACAAAUAAUAGGCAGUAAUAGGCUUAAAGAAAAUAAAUAGAGAAAAUGGAAUCCGAGAUGCUGAGGCGUGGUAUGUUGGUCACUUUUCUUGCAGUAGAUUUCUCCACCUUACAGUACACAAGGCUUGGAUGGCGUUCUACUCUUGAGAUACAACAGCCUCUCGCAAUGUUCCUUCUGCCUCAAUGAUUUGCACGAAUCAAAAAAGCCUUCGAACCCAGAAUCAGUAUGUAGCAAGCCCGUUGAUUGAAAAAAAAGAGUAGGAAAGGAGAAUAGAAGUUCUCUGCUUUCGAUUUUGUCUUGCGUCUAAUCUGUAGAGAUGUAGAGAUCUAUUUAUAGAUUUCUUUGGGACAGAUGCGACCAAAAACGAUCCAAUGGUCAAAACUGGUAAAAAAGUUUGAAAAAAAAAUACUGGGAGUAGGGCAAGCGGAUGCGAGGUCGGUCGCGAAAAGAAGGUCGUCCCUAGGAAGAGGGCGUGCGUUGAAGAGGCGCAAGCGAGGAAACAACGCGGCUCCUCGCGCCUCGGGCGCGAGGCACGGCCCAUGUGCCUCGGCUCCUCGUGCCUCGGGCGCGAGGCACGGCCCAUGUGCCUCGGCUCCUCGCGCCUCGGGCGCGAGGCACGGCCCAUGUGCCUCGGCUCCUCGCGCCUCGGGCGCGACCCACCCACCUCGGAUGAGCACGGGCACGUGGGGCCCACGCGCCUCGGAUGAGCGACGAAGAAGCCUCGGCAAUUCGGCUACGGAGAAUAAAUCCGAGGGAAAGGAGAGUCGAACCCGUGACCCUUUAAUUAGAAAACCAACGUACAAACCAACUGAGCCAAACUUCCAUCUUAAUAUAUAUAUAAAUAUAUAUGGUUUAAAGUAUGAAAACUUUUAAUCAUUAUUUAACCAAAAAAUCUAACAUCUACUACCAUAAUGGUUCUCAGUUUAAUUAAAAUCUUUCCUCUUUAUUGAUAUGCAGGUAUGUAUGGAUCCUGGGUGCUGCAUACUUGUUAUAUGCUUUCUCUUUGAUAUCUUCAAUCUAGUUCAACUGUUAAUAAAUUCUUUUCUUAUCAUUUUGUCGUGGCUUAUUUAUUCAGGCACUUGUUAAUAGCUUAUUUUAUCAAUAGGAUGCAGCUAGUGAAAUUGCUGCAGAGUUACAUGGCACUCCAGAUCUAAUUAUUGGGAACUACAGUGAUGGAAAUCUUGUUGCAUCUUUGUUAGCUUACAAAUUAGGAAUUACCCAGGUAUGCUCUAGACUGACAUCGUUGCUACAUGUUUUCCAUGGGUUGUAUUGUUACACCAUUCUAAUUGAUAAACUUUGUGCAGUGCAACAUUGCUCAUGCACUAGAGAAAACAAAAUAUCCAGAUUCAGAUAUAUAUUGGAAAAAGUAUGAGGACAAAUACCACUUCUCAUGCCAGUUCACUGCUGAUCUGAUUGCUAUGAACAAUGCAGAUUUUAUAAUAACUAGCACCUAUCAGGAGAUUGCUGGAAGGUACUUGUCCUGCCUAGUUGGGUGUUCAACUCAUUCUUAACUUAAUGUCCAAGUUUUUUAUUAGAAGGUUUGGGUCUACAAAACAUUUACAUAAUUGCAAAGCAAGUAUCCAUGUUCUUUUGUUUCUUGCAGUAAUAAAGUGAUUGCCUUGUAUAUGCUCUGUUUACCCUUCAGCCUUCGGGACUCAACUAAUUUUUCUCUCCACUGAAAAAUUAUUGAGCCACUUGUUAGAUGUGUUAGGACAGGACUUUUCUCUCCAUUUGUUAAAAAGUUUCUUGUAUGGUAUUUCUUCAAAAAUAUAUGCUGUCAUCUCCAUGUUCUGCAGCUGGGUUUCAAAUUUGUUCAAAACAAUAUCAUCAAGAAUGCUUGCCAUCAAACAUUGAAAUAUGUUGAAGAACAAAAAGGAAAAGACAUGAGGAUCCUUUUCAUGUUUCAUGAUUUUUUUCCCCUUUUUAUGGGCCCUCGGUGGGGUUCAGGAGGUGUCAAAUGUUGACUUAAUAUUGGUAGAUACCAUUCACCACCAUUGCAUGUGAUUUUGUAUGUUACAGUACAUCUGGUACUUAUGGAAAGUUUGAAACAUUUUUGCUUUAUGUUAUCAUCAAAAUUCUUGAAAAUUGGAUAGUUUUUGUACGAUUUUCCUUCCGUCAAAUUGCUAUAUGGAUGUUAGGAUUUCAAUUUGAAAUCUCUACAUGGUGUAGUAUGGUUGUUUCAGCAACUUAAAUGUGUAUAUCUGGAAGCUUAUAUAAACUAUCAUUAGUCAAUCGUCUUUUGAUAUUCAAAGGUGCUACACCAUGCACACUUUGGGUGAAUAGCUCCUAUACCGUACUGCAUCUAUCCUAUAGUUCUGUGGCUGUGUUUCUCCCCCAUUGUUGGACCUUCACAACUAUGGAUCUAACGGUUGCAUGGUUGAUAUAGGUGACAUUCACCUGUGAGUGGUGUAGCACUAGCAUCCCUCAUAUAAAAAGAUGGCAUUCUUGUUUAUAAUGGGAUUAAUUAUGGUCUGUGUUAGAGAAACAUUAAAAAAAAAUGAAAACUACUUUAAAUUCAAUUUCCGUUUCAAAACUUCUGUAAUUGUUUGAUGCUAGAUGCUUGUUUUAAUGCUUCUAGGAUGUUAGAUGAGAACUAUUAUAUUUUCUGUUUCAGCAAGAAUACAGUUGGACAGUAUGAGAGCCAUACUGCUUUCACUCUUCCUGGUUUGUACCGUGUUGUCCAUGGCAUUGAUGUUUUUGAUCCCAAGUUCAAUAUUGUCUCCCCGGGAGCAGAUAUGUCUAUUUACUUUCCAUACUCGGAAAAGGAAAGGAGGCUUACUUCUCUUCAUGAUUCAAUUGAAAAGCUGCUGUAUGAUCCAGAGCAACAUGGCGAGCACAUGUGAGUGCUUGAUUAUUAAUUCUAUUCAUGUGCUGUUUGUCUGAUGUUGAUUACUGAAAACAUGUUGCUUAUGCAGUUUAACUUGUGCGUGCAUUUCAUUAAUAUUUAUCUGUUCCUUGAGCUGUUGUUCCCAGAUUUGUGUUUCAUUUUCAUCCUGGAAUAAUUUAAGCAUUACUUUUUUUAAAAAUGAUUAUGCCUUUUUAGUAUCAGGUCUUGAGUUCUCAUAUCUAAGAAUCAGCAUACAAAACAAUUACACAACAUUUUUUUUAAUGUCAACUCGAGAUUGUCUGUUGAAUUAUUUAUAUCUGCAAAAAUUAUAGAUAGUCAAAGACAUGAUACCGUUUGUGAAAUAACUGAGAGUUUUUUUAU
rnacentral:lncRNA from 1 species